CUGUGUGCUCUCAAUCUCCCUGUUCGAGCAACGAAAGCGACGCGAGCCGUCCAUAUAAAUCCACGUCGCCGCCACCAGAUUUCGGAGGCCACCCCGAAUUUCCACCCGGCGGAGGAAGUCCCUUUGUCUCUCUUUCGAGGGAUCCCUCCGUUCAGCCCGGCGGCGGCGAUGGCAUCGGCGGCGCCGGUGCCUAUGCCGGCGGUCUUCGCGGGGUGGUGGGAGCGCGUGAACGGCUCGCCGGCGUGGCAGGACGGGAUCUUCUGGGCCCUCGCCGCCCUCUACGGCCUCGUCGCUGCCUCCUCCUUCGUAAGCAUCGAAUCCUCGGAAUAAACCUGUAGAGUACUCCCACUAGGUUAGGUUGGUGCCUUGAUUUGUGUGCCUAUUUGGUUGGAGUACCGAUAAAUUCGUGAAAUCACUAUCAGCGAUCUCAUCUCACUUGGGAAUAAAGGCGAUUUCGUUAGCUUUGUGGCUUGUGAAGUUGUGAGCAUAAUAUUGUUUUGCAUCCGAACCUUGUAAAAGCUGAUGAUGAGGAGUAGAUUACAGACCUUUAGAUCAAUCAAACCGAAAACUGCAAUUUGGAGUAGGGAUAGUUUGGACAAAGGCUUGCGUUUGUUUUCUUGCUUAUGUUUCUGAUCAAUCAAGACCUUGCUGGAUAAACAGCAUACAGGAAAAGAAUAUCUGGAUAGAAUCCAAAUUAUGGAUAACCUUACUAUCUGAGGCCUGCCUGUAUGGAAAGGACAUGCUGAUGCGUUGCUACCCGCCCGUGUUCAAGCCUCCACAGUCCAUAUGCUCGCAACUGCUGAGUCGAUGCGCCACUCUUCUUAAUAGUUAAUAUAUAAAUGCCGAGGGACUCUUGCUCCUCAGGCGUCAAUUUUUGAACUGUCAAUGGCCUCUACUUUUCGUGGACUGCCUAUGCUCACAGUUGGAUGGACAAAUUUAUUUGAGGAAUAGUAGGCAAUAUUAAUAAUGUGCCUUACAUGCAGAUCCAAGUUGCCAGAAUACAGCAAAGAGUUCCUGAAUAUGGCUGGACAACACAAAAGGUCUUCCAAUUCCUUAAUUUUGUGGUUAAUGGAGGUAUAUGGUUCAAUCUCAAGUGGAAUUAAUAACGGAGUACAACUUGCAUGCUCAUUUAUUUCCCGCGUAAUACUGAUUUUUGUUCUGUUGAUAAUCUGCAGCAAGGUGUUCUGUUUUCGCUUUCCGUCGCCAAGUUCAACAAGUGAAUCCUCAGGUUUGGAUACCUUCAAUAUUUUCUAUCACUCAAAUGAAAUGUUCAAUUUGAUUGACCAGAGUUAUAUGUUUAUUUAUAUUUCAGAUCUUUCAGCAUGUUAUUCUUGAUCUGCCGGGGCUUGCAUUUUUCACUACCUACGCAAUGUUGGCACUUUUCUGGGCUGAAAUAUCUUAUCAAGCACGUGGUCUAGACACUGAUGGCCUGAGAUCAGGUUUCUACGCUAUUAAUGGUGUCAUUUAUGCAAUACGGGUAAAGCAGGUUCUUGACAAGUCUAUACUGCUUGUUAAGUUUGUUUAAUUCAACUAGAGUUGUUUUUGCUAGUGAUCAUAUUUUUCUCUUUACGGAGUGGUGUAUUUCAUGAAAAUUUCUGCAUGUGGAAACUCCCUGUACCAUUGAAAACCAUGAUACACUUUUCUCUUUGUUUUCUCUGAAAAGAGAUAUACUACCUCCGUUCCUAAAUAUAAGAUGUCCCACCUUUGUCCCAAGUCAAACUACUCAAAGUUUGACCAAGUUUAUAGAACAAUAUGCUAAUAUCUACGAUAUCAAAUAAGUAUAUUAUGGAAAUAUAUAGCGUGAUGGGUUCAUAAAACUAAUUUAGAGUUGUAUAUGUUAUCGCAUUUCUUUAUAAACCUGGUCAAACCUUUAUGAAGUUUGACUUAGGACAAAACUAAAACAUCUUAUAUUUAGGAACAGAGGGCGUACUUGCUAUUGCUAUUAAUUCUGAAUCAUCACAAUAGAAACAGUGUAUGAAGGUAAUAGGAAAUAACUCUAGAUCGCAGUUAGUCAUUUAUUGGUAUUUCAUUGCAGCGUUGACGGUUGGGUGUUUUCUUUAAAUUAAAUAUCACCGCUCGCCUGUCUGUUUUAUAUGUGUUCUUCUCACUUCACUUAUUAUUCUGCGUUCUGUUUAUUGUUCACUUACUCACAUAAAUUUGCUUCUUCAGGUUCUGUUGUGGGGAUUGUUGUGGUGGAAUCCAAAUCCAUCUAUGCUCAUCCUUUCAAAGCUAUUUGUUGCUGGCCUGUCCUUUUCCGCUGCCCUGGGUUUUCUGCUUUAUGGAGGAAGGUAAGAUUAUAAGAAGACUACUCCAAUGCUUCUGUUACGUAAGUUUAAAAUAUGAUGCAUUUAGAUCAUGUUUUGGGUCAAAGUACUCAGCUAGGCUAGUUGCAAUAACCACCCUGUAGUUUAGUACUUUACACUACCUCCAUUUCACUUUUGCUCUAUUUAGUUAUAUUAUGCAACUGUAACAUCACAUUAUGAGUUGUAUUCACGUGCUGGUGAUUUGAUUGACAGGUUAUUCCUCAUGUUGAAACGUUUCCCUAUUGAGUCAAAAGGGAGGCAACAAAAACUGAGUGAGGUUGGCAGAGUGGCUGCUAUUUGUUCCUGUUGUUUUUUGGCACGAUGUGUGAUGGUAGGAUGUCUCUUCUCUAAUCCUUGAAUGAGAUUCCAAGUCAUGUAGUUCACUUCUCACUUUUGGUAGUCCAAUUUUGUUUUUUCUACAGAUGUGUUUCAAUGCCUUUGAUAAAGAAGCUGACCUCGAUGUUCUUGACCAUCCAAUUCUAAAUUUCGUCUAUUACUUGGUAUGUGUGACUUGUGCAACCCAUAGUCACCUCCUUAUAUCUAAACUGGAAUUGUCUUUCCCAGUUUGGUAACUAGAAACUGAUGUCUAUUUAUACCUUUUGUUGCAGCUUGUGGAAAUUCUUCCUUCAUCUCUUGUCCUGUACAUUCUGAGGAGAAUCCCUUCCAAGCUACGGCUCUCACAGUACCAUCCCCUCAGCAGCGGCUAGAGAAAAGCACAUCCUGAGGUGAGCUGAAACAUGGAGAUGGUGCUGCAUUCAUACCUGAUUGCAGCCCCAAGACUCAAGAAAGGUUGGCCUACAGUCUGAUCGUUAACCCUUGUUCUUUUUUUGACUGAAAACAGUAGGAGAGGCUCCUACGAUCGUUAACCCUUGUUCAAAAUGUGCACAGUUAGGGAUCUGGAAUCUACAUGUAACCUGACCUCCUGCAGCUAACCUUGGAACAUCAAUGCGCUAAUUUCAUGUAAUUAAUUCGUUCUUAUUACUAUUAGGAAUCAAGCAUCUUGGCUUCUUUACCAGGCAAAAUUUGUCGUGAAGCAAUCUUUGUAUAACUGAAAAUCUGGGGUCAUAGACGAUGGACCACAGGCAAACCUUCUGUGUUUUGACGGAAAUCUUUGUCUUCUUUAAGUAAAAAUCCGAGCCGACUAUUGUACUUUACCAUCUACAGUACAAGUUGUACUGUUGUCAUAAAAAAAGCCUGCAGGAAAAAAUAUAUUAAAUCUUUGUUAAAUUCAAAAUGUUAAAGCAAGGGACGCUAGUAAUUCAGAUUCGAAAGGACGACUCACAUGAGUAUCUGAAGGAGAAUAAUACUCCUACUAUAACUAGGAGCCAAAGUAAACAUGAGUAUUUGGUCUGUUAUCGGGUUUUUUUUUGACAGCCGGUCUGUUAUCGUAUUUGCUGGUAUGCCCAGCCGUUUGCCGUUUGGUCUGUGCAAAUUUAAGCUGGUUUCCCCAGCAGCUACUUGCUCAGUUUGUCUGGUUUGGGCUUUGUACACAAAGCUGGACAUGAGGUGCCUUUUCGUCUAAAAAAAAGCAAACAUGAGACUGCACUUGACAAUUUCAAAACUUGUGAAUGUUCUCUGAUUUUAAAUACCCCUUCCGUUUCAUAUUAAGCGACAAAAUAUUACAUGUAUCUAAACGUAUUUUGGAUAUAAAUACAUUCAUAUUUGAACAAAUUUGAGCAAGCUAAUAUGGAACGGAGGAUUAUUAUGAAAAUGUGUAUGCGUGGCAUACUGGCAUCUGCAGUGUCGGAUCACCCUGUGCAAAACCGAACCGUAAACCGAAAAACCGGAAGAAAAUAACCGUAACCGAACUGAAAGUUCGGUUUUCUCGGUUUUCGGUUCCGGUUCCGGUUCCGGGUAGCCAAACUGCUAACCGUAUGGGUUUCGGUUAAACCGAAAAAACCCGAAACUCAGACUCCCCUCGUUCGUUCCACGCGCGCCACGCCCCCACGAACCGGCCAGGCGAGCCCAGCCCAACUUCCAACCGGCCCAUCUAACCUCCUAGCGCCUGCCUUGACCUAAUCCACUCGACGCACGCUCCGCGCCCGCGCCUCCGCUCUUCCCGACGGCCUCCACUCCCGUCGUUCCCCUCGCCUCGAGAGGUCGAGCCGCCGCCGCUACCAGCCCACUCCGGCACUCCCUCUCUCCCACCGAGCCGCCGCCAGCCCACUCCUUCUCUACCAGCAGGCAGCAGGCAGCGCCAGACGCCGUUGGCCGCCAGCUCACUCCCUUUCCUUCGAUGCGCCUUCGCUCACCUCGUCCCAAGCGCUACUCCUCCUCUCCUCCCGCCGCGCCGGGAUCUCCCAAGCUCUAGCCGCGCUAGCCUCGGACCCCUCCUACAAGACAGUGCUCGAGUCGCCCUGGGCCACGUCGGGCAAUUACUUGUGCCCGCACUCACCGACAUGCCGCUGUUCUACAAGACAAUGCUCGAGUCGCCUCGUCGUCAGCUGUUCGGUGGCAUUCCAGACCCUGACGAGGAGACACAGUUGUGGAGAGAACACUGAGAUCGGCGUGAGGCUACCCUGGUGAAUCGAGCUGUUGUGUUCUUAAUUGAUGAACCAACGGAGGAAUCGGCCACAAAAUAAAGCCAUCCACCGCAUCUGAGCCAGGACAUCUUUGAUUUCCUGCCGCCAGACGCAUCGAGCUGCUGCAUGCAGCAAGACUUCAAUUAAUUGUACAAUCUACAUGCUCGGUUCUUUGAUCGUUUGAUCUUGCGUUAGCCCAGUGCUCAUGUGGUGAUUCACUCCAGUGAAAUCAGAAAAAGGAAUUUAGGAAGGAGGCGUUUCUAGUGAGGUUCUAAUAGAAACAUGUUUAUGUAUUUGCGCUUUAUGGCUAUCAAAACGUACACAUCUGCUCUCAGGCAUUUCUCAGCCCAGGUCACUAACCAAACACCCCAUGUACAUGUAUGCCUGGUCAGGUAAAAACAUACAAAUUUUCAGGAAGCUCUCAAGCAUUGCUUCAGAAGAGUUCAUGCCAAAAUUUCAAUUUUCUUCUUUAUUAUGAGUUGUCAGAUUGUUGAAACAUGUGUAUAAAAAUUUACGUGUCGCUCAAAAAUUCUCGUCAAUUUGGGUUAAUUUGGUUAUAACCGAAACCGAACCAAAAUAAAUGGUUAUAACCGAAACCGAACCAAAAUAAAUGGUUAACCGAACCGAACCGUAGUUUCGUACAAAACCGUAUAAACUGAAAUAUACAAACCGUAUAAACCGUGUUAACCGAACCGAUCUAAAAACCGAACGCACACCUCUGUCGGAGGCUCUGUUGCCACCUACCGCUCCCGAACGGUACCAACUAAAGAAAUUCAAUUCUUUUUCUCCACCAAACCAAACUCGUGCACCAAACUCCGUCGAUGUGUCUCUGCCUCCAAACUCAAACCUUGGUAAUCUCCGCGCCUCAAACCCUAGCCGCCGCCAUGGCCUUCCUCGCCGGCGCAUCAUCCAUCGGUAGCCCCUUCGCCCUCGCCUUCUCCUCACAUCGCCGGAAUGAUCUUCCCAUGGCCGUCAAAGCCACCGCCAGCUCGAACUCGGUUUCAACCCACCCCUUUAUCUCCUCCCUCCGCCUCGCCGCCUCCGCCGCGGUCCUCCUCGCGGCUACCUCCCCGGCCAUCGCGUGCACCCCCUCGCCGCCUCCCCCUCCCCCCGCGCUAACCGUAACGGUCUCACCCGAGGACGCCAUCCCCGGCGACUGCCACCCCUUCGAGAAGCUCAUCAUUGAGACCGCCGCCCUCUCCCGUUUCGGCGAUGCGGAGGCCGCGAGGUCCCGCCUCUCCGCCGCCGGGGGCGGCGAGCACUACGCCCGCCUCUUCGCGGCGCAGACGCUCUUUGUGGACGGAAAGGUGGAGGAGGCGAUCGCGGCCUUCGAGGAGCUCGCGCGGGAGGACCCCGGCGACUACCGCCCCCUGUUCUGCCAGGGCGUGCUGUAUUCUAUGCUGGGCAGGGAGACGGAAUCGGAUUCGAUUCUCGAGCGCUGCCGGCUGAUCGCCGGUGACAAAUUCGGCGGCGGUUUUGCAAUGCCGGUCUCGGCUGCCGAGGAGGCGCGACUAGAAGCAGCAGAGUCAGCGGCAGAGAAGACGGAAACGGAGGUCGAAGGGGAAAAGCUGUGACUGGAGUGGACUUUGGAUCCCCAAAUAAGGUACUUCGUAGGCAUUUGGUCUCUUCUUUUUAAAGAAAAGUGUACGAAUAGGGGGGAUAUUCGAAAUAGCAGUGCCUGUUUUGCAUUUCCGAUACGUCGGCCACAAGUAAAGAUAUGCAUUUCACAUGGUCUAAGAAUAAAUUGAAGUGAUCGAUUUUGAGCCUGUUGACGAGUACAGUAGACACCACAAAUUUGGGAGAUGAAUACAGUGCUUAUAAAUCUAUAAGUUAAGUUCUCUGCUUGAAUGUUCUGCAUUAAGAUGAAAUUACUGGAUUAGAAUAACAAGAACAAAAGUUUACAAUGAAGUUUCUGCUAUAGUUUGGCAAGGCACAAUCUACUGUAUAAAAUGGUCAUCUACGUCCUGGGCUUCUCGAGGAGGGCCGAGAGGUACCACUCGUCUAACUCGAUUCCCCUGUCCAGCUUCCUACCAGCAUUCCACCACACCUUGUUGAAACCGACCCGGUUGAACAUGGGCACGUAAGUCGUGUUCAUCUGGUUGCCGAGGCAGAAGAAAUGAUCUAGCCAGAACAAUCCUCCGGGCCUCAACACCCUGUAGAUGUCAAACAAUGUGAACUCGAGGAUCAUAUCUGGGAUCCAGUUGCUGAGUACGUGCAUGGAGUGCACGAUGUCGAGCGUGCCAUCAAAGAAGGGCAGCCGGUGCCCGAUGCUGAGGUAGAUGGGCACAAGGCCCCUUGACGCGAUGAAGCUGUUGAAUGGACCGUCGAAGUUCAUGGACGUGGUCACCACGGUCACCUCACGCUCCCGCAUGCGUGCAGCGAACGUGCCAGACCCGCCACCGAUGUCGAGACCAAUGCGCACAGUACCAUUUGGUCUCGUCGCGAGCACAGCGUCAAUGGAGUAGUCGAGGGCACCGUCACCGUGCAACCAACGGUCCUUCUCCCGACCGCCAAGAAGGUCGAAGCAAUCUUUGCAGUCAUAGUGCCCCUUGGUCUUGCCACGGUUCACCAGGCAGGAGUAGUUCUUGCACGUGUAGGCAUCCCACAGGAUGCUGGUAUCCGGCGGUAUAGUCCACAGGCUUGCUGGCAGCGGCGUUGGCUCGACGUACCCCAACGGGGAACGCGGCCGGCACCGACGCCGUGGCAGGGGCUCGCAGCCCUUGAGCAUGAGCUGCUGCGCAGACCACUCGUCAGAUGGACACUCGCCGAGGGGCUUGUAGUUCAUGUACUGCUCCAGCUCGUCCUGGAAACGGUGGCAUGCUUGCCCCAUCGCCGGGAACAGCUCGUCGGAUCCAAGGUUCCGCGUGAAGCCGAAUGGAAGCUUGUGGGGGCCGACGGCUAGCUUGAGCUCGCCGGUCAGCUUCCGUUGCCAAAACCCUUCGGUUGGCGCUUGCUUCUGCUCAACCUUGGUGGCCGCCAUGUUGCUGGCAUUGGCCCUGUUGCCCAGGAGUGCCUCCACGAGGGUGUUGGCCUUGUCAAGGUGGUCGUGCAGGUGCACGAGCUCGGCAUGGCUCGCUGCGAGCGCAUACUCCAUGAUGUUCAGGUCGCGGAAGGACAGCUUACCGGAGUUCCCGAUGCGGACAGUCCAGUCAUGCUCACCGAGGCAUACGCCGACUGUGGAGCUGCGGCCGGAGAAGAGAAGGACGGAUGCGAUGUUUGUCGCAAGGACAAGGAGCAGUACCAAGGCCCUGGACCUCCAUCUCUUGUGCUGUUGAUCUCUAGGUUUCUUGGAGAUGUCGUAGUCCAUGCUGCGCAUGGUGCAACAAGAAAAUGUGGCCUUUUGGGGGUAGUAUGCACGGUAGAACGAGGGCGAUUUAUAUACCGUUGCUGAGUUCAGAGUCCAGCCUCACUUCACAGCUCACAUAAACAGGGUCUUCGGACGGAAGCUUUUGUGAGGACUGAGUAUUUAACUGAGUAGGAACCUGAUGAGUAUUCCGUUUAAUUGAUGCUUAGAACUGGGGCGUUGCUUAACAACUGAGCAAAGUUACAUGGACUUGAGUAGGAACCUGGGGAUUGAACGGGUGGUGAUUUGAUUGACUAUAGAUGGCGUGCAUCGGUCACUGCAACCCGGCGCUGAAGAUAAGCCCUAUGGGCUGUGGCUCCGGCUCAGCGCUUAUGACACUCGGCUAAAAACUGGCGUAAAAUGCUUAUGCACGCACGGCAUACCCUUACGGCUCGUGGCCUAGAAAUUAACGAUCAACGGAUCAAGUUGUUCAAUUUGUAUUCCAAUUUGCAGCUGAAGUGUACUGCCUUACUUUCUACUCAUUUACAGCGAGGACUAUAACCCAUACUCAGCUACAUGCUGGCGUAAAAAGCACGCAGUCAAAGAGGAUCGGAUUAUAUUAGAUACAAUGGAUGGCAAAUUGAUCACAAAGAAAUUAUGUCCCAUGUCCUCACUGUAGCACCCCAGGCUCGACAAAGGGGCAGGCUAGUUUGUCAUCUUGCAGUUCAAUCGUACGGUGGAGAGGGACGUGGAUUGUUCAAAGUGUCACUACCCUUUAUAAUUUUUUUUAAGAGCCAACCACAACGAGCUAUUUAUUGCCAAUAGAAGGUUGAGAGAAUCAACCCAAAGGGAGUACACAAAACACGGAAAAGAAGUACGAGAGGGGGGGGGGGGGGGGUAGAGUUCAACCAAGGUAAACCAAGCUAUCUACGAAACAUCAUCAUCUCCAGAAACCAACUCGCCAAGCCUGGCCCCCGCGCGAUUCCACAGAGCAGCCUCCCCCUUGAUAAGAAGCAACACUACCCCUUAUACUUGACAACUCAUUCGGGCGGACCCAUCGGUGGUGAAGGCCAUCACUGACGAAUUUGUAAAGACUUGUCAGACCCGCCAGCGAUGACUUGGCAAGUCAACCUUGGGUCCAUUGUCGAUCGAGUCACCACUGAAGCCUCUAAUUAGGGACCCUUCAGUGGUGACUUUCGGCCACUCUGCCAGUGUCACCACUAGCGGGUUAAGUAUAAGACCUGUCAGUGCUGACUUUUUCACAAAUCUCAUUCCAGCAGUCCAGAACAGUACUGCGCACGAAAACAAUUUUUCCAGGUGCAUUGAGUGCUUUCUGGGUCCCUAGCUGCGGCCUCUGGGCACCGUGGAUCUCGUCCCUGUCCGGGCCUCUCUCCCACACCCUUCACGCGCGAGGCCUCCUCCUUGAUCUCAUCCUCCCAAGCCUCCUUGAUCUCAUCCUCCCAAGAUCCACCUCCCUCUCCACCAAGAUCUAGAUAUAUAUCUCAUCCUCCCACAUUCACCAAAAUCCACUCGAUCUAGUUAUUAAUCUCCCUCCUAUCUCAUUCACCAAGGUCUCCACGAUCUAGGUCUCUUCCUCCUGCUAUAAUUUGGCCACUUUUUUAGUUAAAUUUUUACCAGGCCUUCGUAUAGCAUUAAUGGUGAGUAGUGUGAAUUAAAAUCAAGCUCUAUGUAAAAACAAUAAUUUAUUAUUUUGUAGAGGCUUUAGCAGGAAAAUAAUACUUAAAAAAUGUCAAAAAAAAUUAAAUCCUUAUGUAUGGUGUCGUAUUAUGGGUAUAUAUAGUCUUGGGAUGAACAGGAUGAGUUAAUACACAAUUAUAAAAUGGACUAUCUCGAAAGAAGUUUCUGAACUUAGGAUUUAAACCUACAAAUUUGAAAGCUGAACCAACUUUUGUAAUAAUUUGGCCAUUUUUAGAUGAAAUUUUUACUAAGCCUUCAUUUACAUUAAUUACGAGUAAUUGAAUUAACAACCACAGAUUCUAUGUAAAAACAAUUUAUCAUUUUUUGGACCUAUUUAAUAGGAAAAAAGAAUAACACUGGAAAGUUGUCAAAAAAAUGGCAGGUAUGUAAGUUUGGGAUGAAAAGGAUAAGUCAAUACACAAAUUUAAUCCGAGUGACGGCACCAUGGAUAGACCCCCCCCCCCUGCCCCCCGCCCCCAUCUUGUCCCUCUCUCGGCCGGCUUUAUUUUUUUUAAUUUGUAAAAAUAUGCUUGUCGACUUGUUUCGUCGACACUUGGCCAAGAGGGAAGGAGGGGGGAAUAUUGUUUCGCCGUGCACCCUCCUUUGCCCACGGCAAACUUGGCAAAGAAGUUGUUUGCCGAGACGAUUUUGCCAUGGAGGCAACUCGAUAAAAUAAGAAAUCAGGUUGUGGAAGUUUUGAGGAAAUAAGGUAGACACAUCCUCCUAUGUCUUGUUUUUUCGAAAGUAUAUACAAUCAUAUGAAUAGAGGGGUGUUGGGAAUUGCAAUGUUGGUUUUGCAAUUCUGAUAGGUCGGCGACAAGUGAAGGCAUGGAUUUCGCAUGUUGUGGGGAUAGAUUGAGGCGAUCAUGGCAAGGCGAUCUAUUUUGAGCUUGUUAAUGAGUACUCUUGACACUAAUUCAUGGGUUGAAUACAUUGCUUAGAAUUGUGGAAUGAGUACACUACAUCAUUGCAAAAUUGCCGAAGUAGAAUACCCGCAAGUAAUUUAUUCAUUUUUUACUGUGAAAAAAGCACGUUGUAUAGUAUCUCUCUUUGAAAAAAAAACACAUUUUGUAGCAAACGGUGAACUAGGUCUUGGGCUUUUCAAGCAGUGCUGAAAGGUACCACUCGUCCAUCUCGAUCCCCCGAUCCAUCUUCCGCCCGGCGUUCCACCGCACCUUGUUGAAACCGACCCGAUCGAACAUGGGCGCGUACGUCGUGUUCAUCUGCGUGCCGAGGCAGAAGAAGUGGUCGAGCCAGAACAAUCCUCCCGGCCUCAGCACCCUGUGGAUGUCGAACAGCGUGAACUCGAGCAUCGCGUCGGGGAUCCAGUUGCUGAGCACGUGCAUCGAGUGCACGACGUCGAGGGUGCCGUCGAAGAAGGGCAGCCGGUGCGCGACGCUGAGGUGCAUGGACAGGAGGCCCCUGGACGCGAUGAAGUUGUUGAAGGGGGCGUCGAAGUUCAUGGACGUGGUCACGAUGGUCACCCCGCGCUCCCGCAUCCGCGCGGCGAAGGUGCCGGACCCGCCGCCGAUGUCGAGCCCGAUGCGCACCGUGCCGGUAGGCCUCGUGGCCAGCACGGCGUCGAUGGAGUACGCGAGGGCGCCGUCGUCGCUCAGCCACCGGACUUUCUCCCUGCCGCCGGCGCGCAGGUCGAAGCAGUCCUUGCAGUCGUAGUGCCCGCUUAUCUUGCCGCGGUUCUCCAGGCAGGAGUAGUUCUUGCACGUGUACGCGUCCCACACGAUGCUGGUGUCCGGCGGGAGCGCCCACAGGCUCGCCGGCAGCGGCGUCGGGUCGACGUAGCCCUUUGGGGAGCGCGGCCGGCACCGCCGCCGUGGCAGCGGCUCGCAGCCCUUGAGCAUGAGCCGCUGCCCGAACGACUCGUCAGACGGACACUCGCCACCGGGCUCGUAGUUCAUGUACUUCUCGAGCUCUUCCGGGAAACGAUGGCAUGCUUGCCCCAGCGUGGGGAACAGCUCGUCGGAUCCCAGGUUAUGCGUGAAGCCCAAUGGAAGCUUGUGGGGCCCGACGGCUAGCUUGACCUCGCCGGUCAGCCUCCGUCGCCAGAGCUCGUCGGUCGCCAAUAGCUUCUGCUCUUCCUCGGCGCCGGUGGCCACUUCACUGGCAUCGGCCUGUUUGCCCAGGAGUGUCUCCACGAGGGAGUUGGCCUUGGCGAGGCGGUCCUGCAGCUGCACGAGCUCGUCGUGGCUCGCCGAGAGCGCGUACUGCAUGAUGUUGCGGUCUCGGAUCGACAGCACGCCAGAUUUCCAGACGCGGACGUUGGCGGAGCUGCCGCCGGAGAAGAGGAAGGCGGAGGCGGUGGCCGUCACAACGACAAGGAAUAUGACCAGGACCUUGGCCCUGCAGCUCUUGCGCUGCUGAUCUCUACGUUUCUUGGACUUGUCGCAGUCCAUUCUGCUAUCUGCAGAGGAUGGAACCCUUCCAGUAACAACAACAACCAACUAAAGCUCCACAAAGUCGCUACUAGCUUGCAUGCGUCUCUGCACACUAUGGAGGGUACUCACUCCUAUAUAUGAAGCAUGAUGUAAAUGAGAUAGUUUCAAUAAACUUCUGCUAAAUUUGGAUUCCAACCUCAACAUAUAUAGGACCUGUAUAGGGUCGUCUCUCGUUGAUGCUUAGAACUGGGGCAUUGCUUCACAAGUGAGUAAAGUAGACGAGCUAGCUCGACCGCUCCAGUAGGAAUCUCGUGAUUCAACGGCUGGUGAUUGGAUUAGACUUUCGGGCUGCAUAGGUCACUGCAAUCCGGUGCUCAAGAUGAGCCUAUGAGUUUUGACUUACAGUUAUGAUAUUUCCGUGACAACUUUGCACGGCAUUUGCCCUUGCAGUUCGUCGCCUAGAGAUUGACGAUCAACUUGUUACAUUUAUUUCCACUUUGUAGCUGCAAAGUGUAGUCUCUACUCAUUUACAGUCAGGACUAUAUAGACCAUACUCAGCUAGCGUAAAAGGGAAACAAUCAAAGAUAGUCAGGAUACAAACAACAAACGUAAAUGCGAAAAUGGUAAAUGGUUCGUCAAAACUCGAAGAAUUAUGUACCGUGUUCUCAUUGUUGCAACCGAAAGCUUUUAUGCAUGCUUGCUUAGUGUAAUGCCAGUGUAUACUGAAGUUAAUUAACGAAGAUAGAGAGGGACGUUGUAGUCAGAUUUGGAUGCUGUCAUAGCUCAAGCGGUAGCUUUGUUUCUCAGCUACCUCUGUAGCUUUUUCUCCCCGUGUUAAGCACUGCCUGUUGUAUUUUACUGCCUUGUGCUACGUGUAAAUUUCGUGCUUUCCGUUCGAUGGAUUGCCUGACGGAAGCUGUAUUUUUAUGCGAACAAAGCGGCAUGGAAAUUGAGAUUGCAAGCACCUGAUCACUUUAGGAAUUAAUCACAUCAAACGCUUUUAGCUAGUUUAGUAUUUCUAGAUAAAAAUAGCAAGGAUGCUAGAGGAUGCCUCUCCUUCACUUAUUACCCUCGCAUCGCUCCCAAUGGGCAAUGAGGGCGGAACCCUAGCUCCUCGACACUGCUGCCCAAUCACUCGUCUCCUCCCCAUGCCGCCGCUAGAGAGCGCCUUGGGCAAAGCUCAAUUCGGGUCGGAGACGCCACGAGGGUAGGACGUCCCUUGGCAUGGCUUUUGUGGGGAUCUAGCAUGGUGACAUGGUGCGAUAGUGAUGUGCACAGUGGUCGUGGUCCUGGGUAAGCACGGAGUAUUAUGUCCUCCAUUUUUUCCCUCGCCGCCGCCUAUAGUCACGCCAAGCAAAGCACACGUGGCGUGGUUGAUGCAGCGGCAUGGUCUUCUUUAGGCUGAUUGGGGACGGGAUUCGUGUCGAGUCCCGCGUGGAUGCAUGUCGCAGUCAUGGCAGCUUGUGGCGUCUCUAGGGGCCGGGCUGUGUUUGGCGGUGUCACAGGCUGCUAUGAGGCGGUGGUAGCCGUGUGCAUUCGAUUCAAGCCAUCGAAGCGACACUCCCCACUUGUUGCCAUCGGCGGCAGCAGCAGGAUAGUCCUCCAAUGGAGGUAGUUGGCUCAGUCGGCCUCUGCUUAUUAUGUGGCAAUGAUGGCGGUUGUGCUUUCAUUGAUGAGGCUCGAGUGUCUCAUCCAUGCCAUGCCGACCAUGAGUAAAUUUGGAUCAAUGGAUCCCGAUGGACGAUCGUAAUGUGUACUUCUCUCCCCUUGCAUAGGUGGGGGACAGGGGAGCCAAUGAUAUGGUCCAAUCUGAGUUUGAUUUUGGCAGGAUUGGUGGACGCUAGAACUGAGUUCUAGAGGUGACCAUAGGUGAUUAAUUUUGGAGGACACCAUGGUGGUUUCAAGCAGAGUCAUGGAUUGUGCAGUCAAUGACGACUUGAUCGGCGUUUUCAUGUUUUGGGUGAAAACCCUCGAUGUGGCUUUCACUAGUUUGCCACGCAACGACACACUUUUCUCGUUAUGUUGUCGAAGACGUCGUAUUUGUGCAAAUGAUCUCGCAUUUAUUGGUGGGACCCAACGUCUUGGAUGAAAAUCCAUGGCCUUUUUUUGACUGGCUGGUUUGCCACGCAACGACACACGUUCCUCAUUAUCUUGUUGAGGACGUCGUAUUUGUGCAAAUGAUCUCGCAUUUAUUGGUUGGACCCAACAUCUUGGAUGAAAAUCCAUGGCCUUUUUUUGACUGGCUGGGUACAGGUAACAACGGUAUGCGAUAUAUUUCUUGAAUGCAACACUUUGGAACAAUUGUGACUUAAUUAGUUGCAACUUUUUUUGCCAUCAUUAAUUAUUCAUCAUUUAAUGUACUUAGCUUGUAAGCUUAUGCUUUGGCAGUGUUGUAUGGAAUCUUCUUUGAUAAAGUUUGGUUGUAUAAGUCCAAUGACACAGAAGCCAAAAGGUUUGACCUUAUUACUUUUCAAAAAAAAAAGGAAGAUACAACUAGAUACAGUGCCAAUGGUGUGGCGUUAGGAGGUGACGUGGGUGAUGAUAGAGGCGGCUUCGACGACGCGCACUCCGGAGGAAACACUUGAUCUUUGAUCAGGCAAUGUCGAAGUGUGUUUGCGUCGUGUCCUUGUUGAAGGUGGUGGCUUGAAACUCGUCUCUGGGGAAAACCCCCAGUUCGAGCUACGGUUGGCCUCAUCAUCAUCGGCGUUCGUGAGACUUUUUUUUCUUCAGAUUUGUCUAGGAGUUUCGGUCUCUUUUAUACGGUUAGUGGUAGUCCGGUGGAAUCCCUGCCGUGAGGCAUUUGGCGUCCAGUUUUUCUUUUUUCUUGCGUUGAUUUUUUUGGCGUCGGCACCUGCUUUUGUCCGGGUUUAAUAAUAUAUGACAAUGUGCAUGCGUCCAGUUUUUCUUUUUUCUUGCAUUGAUUUCUUUGACGUCGGCACCUGUCUUUGUCCGGGUUUAAUAAUGUAUGACAGUGUGCAUCAAUCGAUACAGAGAUCGGAGUUUAUAUUUUUUUCCGAAGAAAAAAGAAAGAUAGAGUGCAUGCGACUGGUUUUUCUUUAGUAUACUGAUGUGAUUGAUUAAAGACCCGCCAACUUAGAACAGAACGAGCACAGGCUAAAUGCAUCAGUUUUUUAUGCAGCACUCAGGCCCAAUAAAGUUUUGAGCCCUUGUAAUAUCCUGAUGUCUGGUGCAGAGGAAGUUGCCAUGGCAACGAAGCCAUAAUGCAUCCAUCCUACAUAGGCCGUUGCAGGGCUUGGGCCGUCGACCCGGUAACAUAUAGGGGUACCUGCACGUUAUUAUCAAAAAAAAAAAAUUGUACCUGCUCGUGCAGUACCAGCGGCAGUGCGCCACCUGAUGUCCUGAUCUGAUCAAGUGAUCAGUUACGGAUCAACGAGAGUCCGGAGCCUCGCAGGUUCUCCUCCACGACGGCAUCAAGCCUCGACGCCAUCUCGGGCGUCAAGAGCUCCUUCCAGUCCCCAACCUCCCCCUUCCUGAAGAAGGCCGAGUUCUUGAACGUCCACCCUGAUCCCCCGUGCUCGCCGUCGCGGUUGGCCUCCACGCUCUUCAUCCGGUCCAUGCCGCACAGCGACACGACGGCCUCGGGGACGCGCUGGGUCACCUCGUCGUCGGUGAAAGGGACGCCGAGGAACUGCGCCAUCCGCUUGACGCUCCCCACGGUGUCCUCCUUGAGCUGCUCGUACCGGAGGAACAUGACCUCCUCCGGCCGCGCCACGCUCUCCUUCCAGUACUCGGCCAUGUGGUCCCACACGGGCCCGAACGCCGACACGCCGUCGCAGUACAGCUCGAAGACCUCCGGGAACGGCGCCAGGGAGGAGCCCGGCACGGCCGGGUGCUUGGCGGCCUUCGCGAUGUAGUGCCAGAAGGAGACGAGCGCGUCCUUGGGGUCCCUGCACAGGUACACGACGCGGCACCUCGACGCGGCCACGGACGCGUUCAUGAGCGACAAGGGCGCGUGCACGGCCAGGGUGCGAGGCGACGGCAUCGCGUCGAUGAGGCGCGUGGGAUGGCUGCUGUUUUGGUAGAGGGAGUGCAGGAACGGGACGAGGUCGUGCGGGCUGGACAAGAGCAGCGGGUGGCGCCGAUCACGCGGCGCGUGCCGGCCGCGGUGGACGACGGCGUAGACGAGGGCCUUGAGCCACGUCGUGCCGGCCUUGGGCAUGGUGGCCAGGACGACGUCGGUCGGGCGCGCGACGAACGUGUCGCGCAUGGCCAGCGUCGGCGCCAUCAGGUGCGCCGGGUACAAGAAGUUGUUGAACUUCCUGUACGGAGAGGUCCCGAGGCCUCGGCACGUCGGGAAGGAGGAGGCGAGCACCUCGUACCUCGCCAGGCCGUCUGCCGCGCCGUUCUGCUCGCCCAUUUGCUCCUCUCUCGGUGGUGCGAGCUGGUGUUUGCCUGCUGCACUCUCGUUAAUGGCACGUUAUAUAGCAAAAGAAGGUGAGAGCCUGCCCAGCUGCUCUUCUUCCUCGUGAACUGUCUCCACCCCGGUACGGAGUAGGUUGAAAAUAUUGCAACAAAUGCUCUUACCGAUAAGAAUAGAAAAAAGGGAAUUAAAAGGUUAAGCCAACUUGUCAAAUACAAACAAACUAGGUGUGUGCCGCGUGGGAAAGCAACGUAGUUCUGGUUGUUAUUUUAUUUUACUACUCUGAAAAUCAUCAUUUACGCCCCAUUCGGUUUGCAGGAUUUCUAAAUGAUAGGAAUAGGAAAAGUAUAGAAAUAGAAUGCCCAAACUAGUCUAAUCCUAUGGAAAGCAAAUCCCCAGGAAUUAUAGAUAGAGAGCAUUCGGUUGUACAAAUUUGCAACAUAUAUAGGAAAGGUUCAGGAUUCACUAGCCGCCAAUACACUCAUUUAAUUGACUCAACUAGCCAUUAGUAGCUUUCAAAGUGUGCAUAAAUAGCCUUGUUAUGUCCACUUCCAUCAUCUUUCUAGUUGCUCUGGAUCACCUCUCUUCUUCUCCUCAAUCUCGUCAUUUUCUGAAGAAGUUUUGCUCCUGAACAAGCCAACACAGCAGGGUCUUGUUGCUCAUAGUUCCGAGGAUUAGCAUUCUGUAAUAAGACAAAAUUAUUCUUUUCAACCAAAAUAAUCACCACGACAGCUUGCUAAUCUUCUUCAUCUGCACUUAGGCAGCACACAUUGAUGCAACAGAUUAAUUUCUCUGGAUUGAAAUCGCUAGUUAGUUAGUAUAUUAGUAUAUUACUUGUUGAAUUGGUUCUGGCUUUGGAAUCGUGGUUUGGUUGUAUCUAACCAUCUACUAAUGUCCAAUCCAACUAAUCACGAUUACUUGAGAAAGAUUAAUAGGUAGAGUCAAGUACUAGCACUACUCUUCUACCAGAAGUGCAGCAAUCCAAGUUAUAACAAACUGACGUCAGGUAACGAACAGAUAUUGCAAACCGCUAUGCUAUGAACAGAGAUCUGCACAAGGUAAAUUGUAACUAACAAUUAGAAGAACAGAUAACCUACGUGGUGCUCUUUGUUGAGUGUAACAACAAAGAUAAUCACUUACCCUAAAAAAUUCAGAUCCAAGCGAGCCAAAAACCACGCAUGACCAAAUCUGCUCGGGAUACGAAGAAAAUAUUGCAGACGUACGAGGAGUAAAUUGCUCUUAAUCUCUCUCAAACCACAUACAUUGAUGCAGCAGACAGAUUUCUUAACACGGCAGACAUACCUGCAAAGAGGAACCACCAGCCAUGCCCAGCCUUGCCGGGUAGCCGCAGACAACAAGGAGCAGGCAGUAUGAAAACGAUAUACUAUGUGUUUUCGAGUCCACAGGCAGUACGAAAAAGUCAUGUUGCACUAAAUUUACUCUAAUGCAUCAGUCCGCACCAGUCCAGAGUGGUUUAUGUUUGUUAAAUCGAGUCGUUUUCCGUCUUGUCUUGAAAAUUGAGCGAUUAGGCCGCUGCUUUCUGCCUUGUGCCCCGCGCGUCCCGUCCACCAUCCUCUCCCGCGCGCGCCCUCUACCCCACCGGAGCGCCGCCGUCGCCGUCGCCGCGCUGCCGCCUGCCGCCCACCGCCGUCGCCCCGCCGCGCCGCCGCCCGCCAUCUCCCUGCAUCGCUGCCGCCCGAUGCCGUUGCCCCGCUGCGCUGCAGCCCGCCCCCGUCGCCACAAUGUACUGCCUCCCGCCGCCGCACACGUGGCGAAGCAAGCCGCUGCUGCUGUUGCUUCGCCUGUCCGGGACCUGAGCCGCCCCAUCCAAAGCAGCAUGCGGCUUCUUCUGUCCCGCCCCGUCCUGGUCGUGCGGAAGGCCUUCACGAGGCGGCGGCUAUGGAAGGCUGGGAGAUCACCGUGGAUGCGGAUAUGGCGUACGCCGACGGGGCCGAGUCCAUUGCGACGGUAGCCCAGCGUCGCUCCGAACAGCACAUGGUUGGGCGCCCGCAACCUGUUCGAUGGUCUGCCCGAACAGACGGAAGUAUUUUUCUUCUACAUCUUUUGGGUCAAAUGUGUAGAUGCGUAGAUGAUGUAUAGAUGCAUGCACCGAUCAAUUGGGAUAGAAAUUUGAAUGAAAUGGCAUGAUCAAUUGGGAUGGAAUAGCACGGAAAUUGAGGAAACCGUGAUGAUCGUUGAACACCCCUAGUCCAGGACAUGUAGUUUUUAGCUGUGGCAAAUAAGAUAACUAAAAACAGUAUUUGCAAGUGUGUUUUAGCAUUGCUGUUGUAUGCGUUUUUCAAAAUUAUAGUAGCACUAAAGAAGGUUCCUUCUAUUCAAUAUCUUUAUGGGGAAAUAGGAUACCCAAAGGAGUGAGUAAAGAUUUCGUUUUAUCAACAACGAAGGUAAUACAAGAAAUAGGAUAGAAUCUUUUAGUACUUCCUGUGGGUCUAAAAAUGUUUUUACCUAUCCGCAUGAAACGGGAAAUACUAUGUUAUUUCCUUUUCUUGGAAUUUUGGGUUAGGCUCAAGGCUCAAUCUGAAAUUAAUUUCUGAAAAAUCUCAAAAGCCCAUUCAUAGAGUGAGAUGAGGAAGUGGGAAUAGUCCCACCUUGCUAGUUUAGAGAGGGUUGGACCAAUAUAUAAGGUAUGUUGAUUCUCACCUCUUGAGCAAGGGAAAUCCCCAUGCGCGCUCCUCCUCCGCCGCCGCGCCGCGCCCGCGCCGCGUUUCGUGGUUCGAGUUCGAGCCAGGGCGGGGUCGUGCUUAUCUUUUUGGCAGUCGGAAUCCGUUGCGGACGCGUAACAAAUCCCGAUAAUUGCGGAGUCGGUUUUGGUUUCGAGUCGGUUUUCGUUUCCUAAACCGAACCGCCGCCUGCGUGCCUAUAUAAUAAGACGACCGCGGCCUCCGGACGUACCACGCCACAACCCUAACCGUCACGCCCACGAUCCAAUCUCGCUGUUCGCCGCCAACUGUUACUCCAUCCCGUCGACUGCGUGCACAGAUCGCUGGGAGAGGAGGCCUACGGAACCCCGACCUUCGAGAUCCUGCCCGGGAGACGGUCGAUAAGGUUUUUGGGGAGAGUUCUCACGCGACUGCUCGCUUCUUCACGUCCCUGUUUCGUUGGCAUCUUCAUCACCAAUGGCCGACGACCUCGGAGAUCCCGCGGCUCAGGCUGCCGCUCUAGCUCCGCAGCAACAGGCUGCCCAACUCCAAGCACAAUGCAGGCUGCUCAACUCCAAGCCCAGGCAACUGCUGCUGCACAGGCGCAAUCGCAGGCGCUGGCCGCUGCCCAGGAGGUAGUCAAGGCUGCUGCUGCUGCCAGCAUGAACAUCGACGCCGCCGGACUCGUCACCGAGCUCAACAAACAAACACAAGAAAAGAGUACAACACCGUACGUAAUUUGCUUUUUCUUGUUAAUUUUGAUUAGUAGUUCUAUUAUUCAUGCCGUGAAAUUAGAUGAGUUUUAUUGCUGUGCGUUGCUAUUUAAUUUGUCUACUUUGCAUGAUAUAAUAUGUUACAUGUUUUACACAUUGUUUUUCUAGAUUAAAUAUUCAUCGAAAUUACCUAAUUAUUCAUCAAUCCAAAAACCUUAUUCAUGUAGGCAAGUUUCGAUGUCUCAAUUUGCUGUCGCAUUGAAACCACCUGUGUUUACUGGACUACACUUUAAGAGGUGGCAGUAUAAAUGUCAUAUGUGGCUCGUGGCUAUGGGCGCAUGGUGGGCGGUACAACACGGGAAGACUCAAACAAUUGCUCCUCAGCAGUUGUAUGUUGAGGCUUGUGUUGUAGUCGUCGGUGCGAUCUGUAGUGUGCUGGGAGAUAAGCUCGUUGAUGCUUAUCUGCACUAUCAGGAUGCCAAAGAGUUGUGGGAUGCGCUCGAUGCUAAGUUUGGCGCAUCUGACGCUGGCAGUGAGCUGUACGUCAUGGAGCAGUUCUUUGACUAUAAGAUGGUUUCAAACCGAUCUGUAGUGGAACAAACUCAUGAGUUACUGACUAUGGCUAAGGAACUUGAGCAAUUCAAGUGUCCACUACCCGACAAGUUUGUCACCGGGGGCAUCAUCGCCAAGCUGUCUUCCUCGUGGAGGACUUUGCUACUUCACUAAAACACAAGAGACAAGAAAUCUUUGUGGAGAACCUGAUUGGGACUCUUGAUGUUGAGGAGAAGGCGAGAGCAAAAGAUGCUGCCCCAAAGUCAACACACAAGAGGGUACGUCCACUGCCAACAUGGUUCGGAGGAACAACCACAACAACAGUAACAACAAGGGAAAGGAAAAUGCAUUCAACAAUGCUGAUCCAAAGAACACUACCACUUUCAAGAAGAAGAAGAAGAAAGGAGGCAACAAGGACAAGAAUCCUUGCUUUGUGUGCGGAGGACUCGGCCACUGGGCGAGUAACUGGAAGGAGCGCAAAGGAAGACAGAUUCGGCAAAGUUUGCUAAUUCGACCAUUGGCAACAAUGAAGAUGCAGGCGGGUAUGGUAAUUUAUUUACUGUAUUUUUUGUAUGUUAGUCCACCGAUUGGUGGGUCGAUACAGGUGCAACUAUUCAUGUGUGUGCUGACAUUUCCUUGUUUUCUCCAUAUCAGGCCAUCAGCUCCUCAGUGACGAUGGGGAACAGCGCCCAUGCUUCUGUUCAUGGUGCUGGCACGGUGGAUCUGAAGUUUACUUCGGGAAAGAUCGUGCAGCUGAGGAACGUGCAGCAUGUGCCCUCCAUUCAGAAGAAUCUUGUUAGUGGAUCCCUUCUUUGCAAGGACGGAUUUAAGUUAGUGUUUGAGUCCAAUAAAGUUAUUGUGUCUAAGUAUGGACAAUUUAUUGGUAAAGGUUAUGAGUGCGGAGGUUUGUUCCGCUUAUCCCUUUCGGAUAUUUGUAAUAAGGCCGUGAAAAGCGUCAAUUCUAUUAAUAAUGAGUCUAAUGUUUGGCAUUCACGACUUUGUCACAUUAAUUUUGGUUGCAUGAUGCGAUUAGCAAAUCUGAGUUUAAUCCCUAAAAUCACUGUGGCUAAAGGUUCAAAGUGCCAAGCUUGUGUGCAAGUGAAGCAGCCUCGUAAGCCUCACAAGGCUGCUGAGGAGAGGAACCUAGCACCGUUAGAGGUCAUACAUUCUGAUUUUUCUGAGAUGAACGGUGUAUUAACCAAAGGUGGAAAACGUUACUUUAUGACUUUCAUUGAUGAUGCAACUAGAUUCUGUUAUGUGUAUUUAUUAAAAUCAAAGGAUGACGCAUUGCAUUAUUUUAAGAUCUAUAAAACUGAAGUUGAGAUCAACUUGAGAAGAAAAUUAAACGUUUGCGGUCUGACCGCGGUGGAGAAUAUUUCUCCAAUGAGUUUAAUUCAUUUUGUGAGGAACAUGGCAUAAUUCAUGAGAGAACGCCUCCCUAUUCGCCCCAGUCAAACGGGGUUGUUGAGAGGAAAAACCACACGCUGACUGACUUGGUCAACGCUAUGUUAGACACUGCUGGUUUAUCCGAGGCAUGGUGGGGGGAGGCGCUAUUGACUUCGUGUCAUGUCCUAAAUCGUGUUCCAACAAAAGAUAAAGAAGUCACCCCAUACGAGCUAUGGAAAAGAAGAGACUCACACUUUCUUACUAACAGAUUUGGGGUUGUUUGGUGAAAGUCAAUGUGCCAAUUACCAAGAAACGUAAUCUUGGACCAAAAACCGUUGAUUGUGUCUUUCUUGGCUACGCACUUCGGAGUGUUGGCUAUAGAUUCUUGGUUGUAAAUUCUGGAGUACCUGACAUGAGCGUCGGUACAAUUAUGGAGUCCAGGGAUGCUACAUUCUUUGAGGGCACAAUGAGCUAUGGUAUACACUAUACUGGGUACCCCAAGGUACUUGAGGGUUAUAGUGAUUCAAACUGGAUAUCUGAUGUUGAUGAGCUAAAUGCCAUGAGUGGAUAUGUGUUCACACUCAGAGGGGCCGCUGUUUCAUGGAAGUCUUGCAAGCAAAUGAUCUUAACCAGAUCAACAAUGGAAGCAGAACUUUCAGCAUUAAAUACAUCCACGGUUGAAGCCGACUGGCUUCAUGAGCUCUUGAUGGACUUGCCGAUUGUUGAAAAACCAAUACCGGCGAUUCUUAUGAACUGUGACAAUCAAACUGUGAUAGACAAAAUGAACAGUUCUAAAGAUAACAUGAAGUCAUCAAGACACGCCAGGAGACAUCUGAAAUCUGUCAGAGCAAUGAGAAAUUCCGGAAUAAUAGCAUUGGGAGAUAUCCCAACGGCUAAAAAUAUGGCAGAUCCCUUUACAAAGGGUCUAUCAACGAAUGUGAUAAAAUCUGCAACAAGGGAGAUGGGGUUGCGACCCACGUGAGUUAUCAUUGCGGUAAAUCAACCUAUGUGAUCGGAGAUCCCGUGAAUUAGGACCUGGGAAACAAGUCAUUGGAUAACUGAGGAGAGUGUACAUUCUUUAUCCCACUCCGUUGACGAUGCAUUACUCUCGUGUACUAUAUGGUAGGUUGUUUAACUUAAUGUGUUCUAACGUGUUGAAUUAAAUUGCAAGGGAGAUACUGUCUAUAUGAGCCUGACUGUUGGUUGCAGUCUAUGAGAUUUGGGUGCUCUCUAGUAAGCUCAUGAAAAGGCCUGAAGAAUGACUUAUAUGCUCCACACCGCGGGGUAGCAUUCGGCAGCACAGUACCAGACAACAAUUUAGUGAAGGUCUAACACAGAAAACUAACAAUUCAAGGUUUGUCCAUUGUUCAGUUGUGCGUGAGCGAAGCUAUUUGUUUAGGUGGAUGUUCAAGCUUAACCGGUCUUCACUGAAACGCUGGUAUAUCAAAAACAGAGUUUUGGAUCAAUGGCAAUUUUAUGUGCUUAUGAGAUAUUGUGGGGGAUAAUUGCGGAGUCGGUUUUGGUUUCCUAAACCGAACCGCCGCCUGCAUGCCUAUAUAAUAAGACGACCGCGGCCUCCGGACGUACCACGCCACAACCCUUGCCGUCGCCCACGAUCCAAUCUCGUUGUUCGCCGCCAACGUCUACUCCAUCUAGUCGACUGCGUGCACAGAUCGCCGACGACCGCGGCCUCCGGACGUACCACGCCACAACCCUAGCCGUCACGCCCACGAUCCAAUCUCGCUGUUCGUCGCCAACUGCUACUCCAUCCCGUUGACUGCGUGUACAGAUCGCCGGGAGAGCAGGCCUCCGGAACCCCGACCUUCGAGAUCCUGUCCGGGAGACGGUCGAUAAGGUUUUUGGGGAGCGUUAUCACGCGACUGCUCGCUUCUUCACGUCCCUGUUUCGUCGGCAUCUUCAUCACCAAUGGCCGACGACCUCGGAGAUCCCGCGGCUCAGGCUGCCGCUCUAGCUCCGCAGCAGCAGGCUGCCCAACUCCAAGCCCAAGCAACUGCUGCUGCACAGGCGCAAUCGCAGACGCUGGCCGCUGGCCAGGAGGUAGUCAAGGCUGCUGCUGCUGUCGGCGUGAACAUCGACGCCGCCGGACUUGUCACCGACCUCAACAAACAAACACAAGAAAAGAGUACAACACCGUACCAAAGGAUUGAUCUAUUAGAGUUGAUCCCAUCCUGAAAUACUUAUCACAUGCUAAUAAUCAAACUAAUUAUGGUUGUGUGCAUCGAUUGAUGCAGAGGCCAGGGAGUCUUCCCCUUUCCGAAAAAAAAAAUCAAACUAAUCAGCCCAAACUAGUGUUUGCAGCAGAACUGUAGAACGCAAUUCCACGAGAAAUGCUAGUACGUAGAUUCUACUGCACUUAAGAGGCCGUUAUCUCGGAGGCUGCUGCCCCUGCCAUCCUCUGCUCGGAUGACUCGCCGAUCACCCAUUCCGUUGUUCCCACCGGUGAAGAGCCGGUGUUCAUGUGUGAGCUCACGGGGCUCCCGCGGCCCAUGGCGUUUUCCUCCUCCCCGGCCAUCGGCAUCUGGCUCACAUCACCACGGCCAUUCCUUGAGCCCUCAGCGAUCCGUCUCGGCGUUUGGCCCGCGAAUUCGCUGCCGUUCCUCAGGGACUCGUCGUUCGAUGUCUUGAACGUGCGUGACUUGAGGUCCUUCUCCUUCCUGUCGUAGUGCUGCAGCCACGCACACAUCCUCCGAAUUAACGCGCUCCGGUAGCCAAAGUGACCGGCGGCCUCGGCCUGCGCCUCCACGACCCGGACCUCCCCGCGCUCACGGUAUGCGAAGGUGGCGAGGUAGAGCAGCAGCGUGAGGCUGGACACCAGGCCCGUGAUGAGGAACAGCCCGCCGAAGCUCUCGAAGCUGAGGUUGGACGAGCUAGAGGAGCCGACAGCGGCGGCACUGCUGCUGCUGCCCCGGCAAGCACCGUCUUCCGGCUCCCCAAACCACGCCUUCUCGAUCCGCGCCAUCUUGUCCCCCUCGGCCAGCCUCAGUAUCUCCCUCGACACGUCCGCCACCAUGGGCGAGGCCCUCGGGAACACGAACCCGAACCCGUCCGUCUUGUACACGGGCCCCACCAUCAUGUACCCGUCGCAGUACUGCGACAGGAAGAGCUUCAGGUAAGGGAUCUCGUCGAACACGGCGGCCACCCCGCCGUUCGCCGACCCCCUGGACAGCGCCUCUGCGUACUGCCCCUCCGUGCUGUACUUCUUCAUCCUCCGCUCGUCGAAGCCCAUCUUCUUGAGCAAGGGCUCGAUGAAGGUGCCCUCCUGGUACCCGAUGUAGUGCCCCCGCCUCUGCAGCUCCCUCACGUCCGUCACCAUCGGCUGGAGUUUUUGGACCGUCAGCAUUGAUGUCAGGCUCGCCGUGUAGCUCGAUGUCAGGAUUAGCACCACGAACACCCAUACGAUCACCACCAACCUGGACAGGUUGUUCACCAGCUUCUCCUCUGCAAAACCAUUCAUUAAUUCGACCGUUCAAGAAUGGAAAUUUGGCAGUUCAGAAGAGACAUGCAUGCAUGACUACGUACUGUGUGAGAAGACAAGGGUGGAGAAGGCGAAGUAGAAGAUGAGGCCGAACUGCUGGGUGGGGGUUCCGCGGAACUUGUCGUUGACGCGGUGCUCGAGGACCCAGACGACGAAGCCGGUGAAGCAGAAGAAGGCGAAGCUGGCGAGCCAGAGGCUGGUGGUGAGCGGCUGCAGGAAGACCCACAUGCAGGCCGACCCGGCGUCCUCCCGCACAGCCACGACCAUGGCCCAGCCGGACUCCGUGAACGGCAUCGUGUAGUCCACCCCGUUGUCCAUCCGGCUCGCGGUGAUCGUCACGUCGCCCACCACGACGUCCGCCUCUUCCCGCCGCACCAGGUCCACCAGCUUGUCAUACGAGUCCGAACUGUCCGGGAACGGCACAUACCUGUAGGCCACCGGGUACGCCAGGCUCCUCAUCACCUCAUCGAACACGUCGAUGCAAUAACCUGUAAUUCUGGAUGAGUUCUUGGGGUCGACGCCCACGAACUGCUUGAACCCACGCUUCACCGGCACGGCGACCCGGAGCACCGGCAUGCCGUUGUGUGACGCGGGAGUCCAGCCUUUCGGGGUGGACAGCGUGUCGCCAGGCCACAGGAUGUGUUUCAGUUUCAGCAGCUUGCUGCCCGAGGAGGACUCCGGCGGCAUCCAGAGCCCCACCGUCCUGGUGCCUCUCCCGACAACGUUCACCACCUCGUACGCUGCCACCUGCAGCUGCCCGUCAACGAGCUUGAACUUCCCGGCCAUCCCAUCGAACCUCGUGUCCACCAACGCCUUGAGAAGCCUUGCUCCAGUCGCCGACACGCCCACCCAGUCCAGGUCCGGCUGCGGCGGUGUCGGCUGGAACGCCGAUGAGCCGACCGCCUCGUCCGCGGCGGCAGCAAUGGCCCACGCCGUGUCGUACGACCAAAGCCUCAUUACCGUCGACUCAUCAUGGACAACAUGUUCAUCGUCGAGGUCCGGGUUGUCGUGCCGGAACCGCGCCCUGAACCUCGCUGCGAAGUUCCUCACCUCGCGCGUGCGCUUCACCUGAGGCCUGACGCUGACGACGCCCUGCAUGGCCUCGAGGUCCUCCUGGGACAGGCUAUCGACGAAGCUCCCCACCCCGUCAGUGGCGACCCAGACGUAGCCCUCCGACACCAUGCCGGCCUCCCACGCGCGUGCGAACAGCCGCGCCGCGAGGGCGUACCUCGCGUGCACGAUGACCACGCGCGUCGGCGCCGACGCGAGUGCGCGCAGCACGGCGUCGAGGCGGUCGUUGCCGGCGUCAACAGGCAAAGCAGCACGGUGCGUGAUGGCUGCCGCGCUGCCGCUGCCGCCGCUAGCGGAGACGAGCGCGUCCGCGAGCGCCGGUAGAAUGCCGGCGCCGUAAGGCGAGUCCUCAUGCACGACGGCCACCGCGCGCCAGCCGAAUGCGGCAAGGAACGCCGCGAGCGGGAGCGCCUGGAGGGAAUCGUUGGCUGCGGUGCGGAUGAAGAAGGGGGUCUGGGACGGGGACAGCGACGGUGAGGUGGCGGAGUAGGAAAGCACGGGGACGUGGGCCCUGCUGCCCAGGUGGGCCACGAACUCGGCUUCCGACGAGGUCUGGGGCCCGAUGAUGGCCUGCACCUGCGCGUUCUUGAUCAGGUCCACCGCUGCAAUCGCAGGAAGAGUUAGAAAGCUGGGCAGUUGGAUUCUCUGGUUCGUUAAGGGCCCAAGAAAGAAGACAAUUGACUCAUUUUGUUGUUAAAAACUACAGCAAUUGAUGUGUCAUGUGUGAGCGAAGGAGAGAGGGAAAGCUUAAGUACCGGCGGAGGCGGCGCCGACGACGUCCCCGGAGGAGUCCCUGAAAUGGAGCUCCACCUUGGCGGGCGAACCGGGGUGCGCCGCGUAGUAGUCCUCCACGGCCAUCUCAAUGCCCGUCCGCCGCCUCCGCGACACUGGCGACGCCCAGUUCAGUAUCACCCCGACGCGGACAGGCACCGGCACCGGAGCGCCCUCCUGCGCCGCGGCCACCACAUGCAGGCUCCCUUGCUGCUGCCCGACCACCGAGGACACAAGGAAGCAGAAGAGCGGGACGAAGAGAGAAGAAGAGGACGUCCCCGGAUGCUUCCCCAUGAUCAUCAGUCAGUAUGUGCGUGCUUAUCAGUGCUACUGCUGCAUCGAUCGGUCAGAGCCCGGCUGCUCUAAGCUCGGUUUGGAUGGUGUGCUCGUGCGUGAAUGAUCUGAGCUAAGCGGAGAAACCUGAGAUACUAGUUAUAGGAAGUUUAGCCCGCAUCCGGACGCGCUGCCUUAUCGUAGUUUAUAUGCGAUCCAUGGAAUGCGGCCGGCAUCUCUGCCUCACACAUGCACGCCACGCCACGCACCCAUCGAGAGUUGCUGCGAACCUCGGUCGAUCUGGUUAAUUCAUCGUUAUCUGCGACGCAGACUGAUCGAUGUACCGGAAACUUUGUAUUUUUGCUCGUGGGCUCUUCGACUUACCUGGCUGCGUUACGGCCUGUGGCUGUGGGGUAGCAGGAGCGGUACAAGACGACAGGUGAAUGGCACUCCAUCAGGAUCAGGUCCCAGAGUCGGUCGUACGUCCUCUAACCGCAAGUUUUUAUUUUCAGGCACCAAUGAUGGUGAGAAGUUUGUCCAUCCAAACAUUCAAAACAAAAAGGUUCAAACAAAUUUGUCCAUCCAAUUAGUGGAGUAUUCAUCAUCUUAGGGCUCAUUUGGUUACCGGUAAAAAUACAAUAUUCCCUCGAAACGGCCGGACUCAUCUUAAACUCCGCGCGCGAUAUUUUUCUUUUGGGAUCAACCGUUCUGUUUUUCUACAGCGUGUACAGAGGACGAGACAGUAUAACGGACAAGGCUUGGAUUACUUUUCCUGCUCUUCAGGAAGAUUGUCGGUCCGUCAGUCCGGCUGUCCGCUGCGCUUGCGUAUUUUACUGUUAAGCUUGGCAAUUUGGACGCUGCUACCUCUGUUAAGGACUUACGGAGCUGCUUCGUUACGCACGGCAGCUGACUAAACAGUCAACAACACGGCUCCGGCCUCACGCGUUAGCGAAUGCGUGUGUCAGUCAAGUCGCGUCCCUCUGUUACUAAUUCGAAUCUAGUGACUGUUAAUGACACAGUUCCGUAUCCAGAAAUUGGGGUGGUAAGAAAUGUGUUUCAGCAACUACUCCGGCAUGCCUGGACGAGCCAGAUAAUUAUACCACGAUAUUCACUUCAUUUGGUGUUUCAGCAACUGAAAAUUCACGGGCAUAGUUGCAUGACCAUCGAACAAAGAUAAUCUUUGAUGAUAGAGCAGUUUAAAACUUUAAAUAGCUAAUUAUGGUUUUCAGACAAUCCCAAGAGUUUUUCCAUCAGUACAAGCAUAGUAGUCCUACUAAGAAAGGAUUGCUUGCAAACAUACGCCUCCGCCACAAGCAUUCUCUAGCAAAGCAGGCGCUGCUUGGCUGGUAAUUUCUCAGCUCGUACGUGCGCCUUCGACGACCAGAGAACAAAGCCAUGUCGGCGGUCGGCAGCAUCCAACUCCAUCGAGAUUUUCAUGUGUACCUCGCCCUGGAUUUCUGCGGCGAAGAAAACAAGAUCUGUAAGUGAAAAAUCGCAUGCUGUGAAAAUGAUAGGAUCGAUCUCGUGUCUCGUCCUAUGGAAAUCAUGAGCGAUUUUUAUACCCCAGAGCGUGACCCGCCGCCUAUACGGAGGGCACCCAUUUCCAUAUUGAGCACAUUCUCUACUUCAUCCAGCUCGAUGACGGCCUUGAUGAUAGCGCGCGAGAGGUCGUUGUCGUCGUUGGCGUUGAAGAAGCAGCCUCUGUCCUUCGCAUCCGCCACAAUCUUCUGCCAGAUCGUCUUGCUGCUCACCAAUGUAGUCGCGUUGCCUAGGAUCCAGAGGCAGUGCCUGCGAAACACGCACAACACAACACAAAAUUAACAAUCACGCACUUCACCAAGAUAGAACAAACCAGCCGGGAGGGAGUGGGAGAAUGGACUCACUUGGCCCUCGUCAGCGCGACGUUGGUGCGGUUCACGUUGUUGAGGAAGCCGACGGACCCGGCGGCGUUGCUCCGCACGGUGGAGAUGAUGAUGAUGUCCUCCUCGGCGCCCUGGAACCCGUCCACGGACCGGACCUUCACGGAGAACUCCCCGGGGCGCACCUCGUACGUUUUGCCGAGCUUCUCCUGGAUGGCGCGCACCUGGCCCUUGUACGGCGACACCACGCCCACGCUGAGCUUCCUCCUUGUCUCCAUACACUCUGCGUCCACAGCCCAUUCACGAGAGAACGCAGAUUAAAAGGGAAGGGAAACAACAAACUUUGAUCGAUGCAUGUGCUACUCACUGGCGAUGAACUCGCCUGCGUACGUACCUUUGAACAAUCUUUGCACGAUCCGGGUCACCGCGGCCACCUCGAUGGUGUUGACGAGGCUCUUGUCGAACUUGCCGGUGCUCUCCUUUCCACCCUCGAUGUUGAUGAACGAGUAGGACCCGUACAUUGGGCCCGUAAGGUGCUUCCUCUCGUAGUCUCUUUUCAGGACGUUCUCGCCAUCGGUGAUCCUGCUCUCGUAGAAGCUCGACACCGGGAACUUGCUUAUCCCCGGGUGCAUCCUGUACUGCACGUCUAGCAGGUGCUUUGGGUGCCCCAGUGAACUCAGCCUCUCGAAGAGGCUCCUACCGAAGCAGGCGUCCUCACAGACCUGCAAGAGCAAAACGUCGAAUCAACAGAAAUUGUGAAAUCAUAUGUGAUGUGUAACAUUGGCAAGUGUUUUAGAUGAAACAUUGAUGUGGAUACUUUGAAUAAUAUGGAUAUUUAAGUGAUGACAUGUAUCUUGUUUGGACUUAGUGCUUUGCUAGUGGUGUGCUGAUCCAUUAGUUUCUUAUGUGAAAACAUGGUGUGAGUUGUGUGAAACUUACCCUGAGUCAAGUCGUGUACUUAUGCUCGUACUGGUUAUUUGUGUGUUCGCUUUCAGGUGUUGUCGGAGGUAGAAGAACGUGGUCGAUGACGGGAUCGAGAGACGAAGCUUGGGAAGCUGAGGUCGAGGAUCAAGGUCAUGCGGGACGUUCGUGCGAAGGAACAAUGGAAGUGAAGACUACGAUGAUCCGGGAGGGCACCGGUUUGUCGUAUGUUGUUUAUGAAGGGGCGCGUAGAGAUAAACAAAAAACUUUUCCUACGCGAACUCCCAAGAUCUAGCCGAGGUAGAAGGCCACGAGGAUUACCACUAGACGCGCAGUUGCGGAUUAUCGAUGCGGCGCCUUGAUGCAGUGCAGUCCCUCGAUCCGAUCCAGCCGAUCCAAUCCCACGAUCGUCGAAGUGCUGAACGUACAGCACCUCUGCCGGUAUCCACACGUGCGAGGAGGAGCUCCGGCGGCGGACUGCUAGGUCCGGUGCGACGGUUGAACUGAAUCGGGUUAGGGUUCUCAACGCAUGAGAGUGGAAAAAACCGUGCCCCUUAGGCAUCCCACGCCCCUGCUUAUAUAUCGAGUGGAAGUGGGCUCCAAGCCUUGUGGCCCAUCCACCCUGCGAGUCCAACUCGCAUUGUCAGCCCAAUUCCAGUUCGGGUCCAACCCGACCAAAUAUUUGCUCCCGCUCUUAAGUGUGUGACCCCGCAGGCUCAUGGCGACUUGGACACGAUUGGAGUCCGACUCACAAUCGAUCAAUCGGUAGCGGCUCCUAGCAGAACGUGCCAACUCCCAAGUACCAUCGAGUCAUGACGACGUACCUUCCAAUGUGACAUACGUCUUAGUCUCUUUUGCCUCACGAUAUACCUUGUCGAACUAUAGGCGAUUAAUCGUCAUCCCUUUAAUACUUCAACUCUCUUCUCGAUCCGUGAUAUACGAUUCAUCCGACUAACUUUUAGUCGAUCGACCCGGUUAACAGUUAACCAAGUCGCGCAUGGCCAUGCUUCCCGAAUCAUAUCACUCGAGAGGGCCCAGAGAAUAUCUCUCCAGUCGGAGGGGCAAAAUCCCAUCUUGGUUAUCCACAUCACACAGCUUGAUUCUCAAUCAACCCGAACUCUGCCUUUAUAACUGCCCUGUUACGGAACAACGUUUGACAGAACCUAAGUUGGUGAUCCACAACUCGGAUUGUGCGAUAACCUCAGGUCUAAGGAUUACAUUGAUUGAGACAUGCAAAUGACGACCUACUCGUUGCAUCUCAAUAUGGGUCAGUCCGACUCGCUAAACUCUUUAGCCAAGUCCGUGUAAGCUGGAAUGACAUCACCAUGCCCAUGACAAGUGGAACCGAGUCAUCAGCCAACUUUCACAUUAGUCUAGGUUAUGUGUCCAGCACAACCUCAAUGACUAAGGACAAUUUAGUAUGAACAACAUGAAUACAUAGUUCCACAAUCAAAUCACAUAUUCAAUGAUACAUAUCAGAUGUUCAAACAAGGACAACUUAAUAAUAUUUAUGAAUACAUUGGGAAUUACAUCAUACAUGAUUGCCUCUAGGGCAUAUUCCCAACAGUUUAUACCGGAGAUGUACGGUAUUGGAGAUAUUCGAUACGUGAUGGUCGAGUUUUGAAGACAUCACAAAAAGAGUUGAUGGCAUGAAGUGACAUCGAGGUGAAGAUAUGUAGGUCCAGCCGUAGCUGGAUGAGAGCUGUUUAAAGAUUAAACAGUAGCGUCAUCAAGAUGGCGUCGGAUGGAAAAGUGAUCCACAUAAAAGUUGUGUGCAUCGUCAAGACGAACAACUUUGCUUUUGGAGUCAUCUCAAUCCGAGGUCGUAUGAGGGCCCCACGGGCAAAAUACUGACCGGGACAGAGGAGUCCGUGUUGGAUUCGGAUUCGGUUUAGGGUUGCGAAUUUUCCCUUAUAAAUAGAGGGCAUCCUAGCUAGGGUUUUAGCAAGGACGUGAGGGAACUCAAAGUUUUGGAUCUAGAUCAAUUCUUGGAGAGUUCUUGGAUGCAUGGUUGCAUCUUUUGUAAUCGAUCGACAUCGUUGCAAUAAAGAGAUUCGUUGGCGGUGUCAUCUCUGUUCUUCUCGGAUCUUCGUGAAAUCUUCGUGCUAGAUCUUUGUAAUACUUUGGUGCAGGUUCAUCACAAGUUCAUAAUACUUUGCUGCAGAUUUAUCACGAGAUCAAGAGAAGAUUGCGAUUAAUUCAUCUUUCUUGUUAUUCCUCGAAAUUGGUUUUAGAUUAAUCCUCGUAACUUUCUGUCAGCUGUUACUAUUUUGAUCAUAUAUUUUGAUUGGUAAGUCCGAUUGAGCUGAUUCUUGUUGCGUUGAUUAGAUAAUUUUAAUACCUUUCUUUUCCAUACUCAUACGGUUUUUUUUGUUCAUCCAAUCAAAAGUUACGGCUGUUUUACUAUCACGGACAGAAAGGUGAUUUAGGGUUUGAACUUUCGGAAAAAGUUUUAAUUUGCUUCCGCGCAAUCAUUCACCCCCCUCUGUUUGCUUAUCUCGAUCUCACAGAAAUCAUAAAUUGUUAAUAUCUCUAACAAGAGCUGGUACGAGUUUCAGUCAGAUCACCUUGCUUUUCACAAGAGCCGGUAGCUGGUACUCGUCUCCGACGAGAACAGCGAGACGGAUGCCAGGAAUCUGCAAAGGCAACAGCGACUCGCACUCCUUCAGCUGCGCUGCCUCGUCGACGACAAGGAGGUCGAACGGCUCGGCCUUUUGCAGGUAGUGCAGACGAGAUGAGCUCGACGCAGUGCAGAGUACGCUUUUGCAGCUCCUCAGCAAGAAAUCCUCGAUCGACCGCUUUUCAUAAACCUCUGGAAGAUCAAAGUUGUUGGACAGGUCAUUUAACCUCUCGAUGCCGAGGGAUCUGGCCUGCUUAAGCUCUGUACGCACGCUGUCUUGCACAUAUACCACGAGACUCCGAAACAAACAGCUGGUUUCUCCAUCUGUGUCUCUGAUUCUGAACAGUGUUUCCAGCUGCUUGUCUGGCUCAUGCUGCGCUAGUCUCCCAAACUCUUUAAGCAAGCGCAGAACCUCGGUCAUGUAACGGAAAUUCUGUCCAGCUGUUGCAGAUCUAGGGAGAUCAUUGCAGAAAAUCUCGAUGCAGUUAGCCAGACUACUCUCGACUUCCUUGUAGUGACUUAGGAAGUCGUCCUUGAAUGACAUUUUCUGAAUUCUCUUCUUUUUAGCAAGAUCCUCCUUUGCCUCCACCAUUUUGUUCUUAUCCUUCUUAGCACGUUCCUCCUUUUCCUGCCUAGCAAGUUCCUCGAUCUCCCUUUCGAUCUGCUGAACAUACGAAUCGUACUGAGGCAAAGGUUCCUCGAGAAUUCGUACCAUGGAACUCAAGCAGUUUGUCCACCCUGCACCUGGCAUCAAGCACUUUUGGAGACGGCGAACGCGCUUCUCCAAGAAAAUCUUCCCGGGGCUCUGAUCCACGUUCAUCCGAUCCUCGUUGCCGAACAACACAACAUCGCUCAAAAAGCAUUUCUUCCCACUGCUGCCGCCACAGGAAUCCUCGACGAGGCUGAGGACCCGAGACGCGACCUCCACGACCGCAGUGUUGGUCGGAGCACAGGUCAGUGUUCUGUGGUUCUUGACCAUCAUGGACCAUAGUAGAGUGCUGAUGGUCUUCGUCUUCCCUGUCCCUGGAGGACCCCAUAUCAGACGCACCUGACACGUAUCUGGCUGCUCCAUUGAUGAGACAGUCGAGUACUGCCCUCCGUUGGGACCCGUUGAGCUUGAAAUUUUCAACGUCAAGUUCUCUGUCUGGCAAAUAUAAUGGUAAUUCCGAUUCGUCCUCCUGGCCAACCAACAAUAAAAAAAAAGAACACUUAAAACAACAGUUGAAACAUGCUAGAAAUAAGUAAGAAAACAGAGUUCAUACCCUCGGAGCAUAAUUUACAAUCUUCGCAAUGAUGCUAGUGUUCCUGUGACAAGCAACCUCCACAUCCAGUGCAUUCCAUAUACGAUUGUAAGUCGUCAUGUUGAUCAGGAACACCGCGACAAGAGGCAAUACGAACUCUCCUCUCCCGCCGCGUUCAUGGACAGGCCUACCUGACAGCCUUACUAUGGCUCUGCCGUUCGCGUCCUCGGCCUUCAACACUGAGGCGAUCACAUAACGCACCUUGCUACUACCCAAUUGCGAGAUAUGCUUCGGCUUCUGAUCCGUCAGCAAUAGUACAUCGGCGUCCUUCAGGGCAUAAACUUCCCCCGGAUUUAUUUUGGGGUCAGCCUUCUUCACCAGGAUGCUGAAAAUCGACUGCUCUGAAUCUGAAGAAAGUCCCUCGAUCCGGACAAAUUCAGUUGCUGGUGCGUGCUUGAUGCCCUCCAGCGCCGAAGAGAGAUCGGCACGAGUUUCUUCUAUCAGUGGUACGGUGAAUGAGCCCAUGUACUCCUUUAGAGAUGUAAAAGUGCUCGGUACUUUCUUAACCUGAAGUGGAGAUUAGCCAUGAUUUGGUUGGUUUUCUGAGCUUACAGAAUAACAGUACAGUGUCGAAAGCCGGAUCACUGUAGUAUUCUUUUUUUCAAAAACAAAAUUCUAAACCGUCUCUUUUAUAAUGCUAAGUUUGCAAUCAAUGCUUUCUGAUAAAUUAAACUGAAAAUGUCACUGUAUAAUAAGUAUAGGGACUAAUUAACUUACUUGAAAAGGCGAUUCAAUCUGGUAAUGACUAUUUAUGUUACAUAUGAUUUAAAUUACGGAGUAGAUCAGAUAGAACAAACUGAAAAUAAAGUUGCAAGAGACGCAUAAGGUGAAAAACUAGCUACUCCUUCCGUUACAAAAUAUAAUACUUUUGACCGCCAAAUUAUGUACUUAUAUGAUAAAUAUUUCGUACUCACUCCGUCUCAUAUUAAGUGUCUCAAAUUUGUUCAAAUACGGAUGUAUCUAUACAUAAAAAGCGUCUAGAUACAUGUAAUAUUUCGACACUAAAUAUGGGACGGAGGAAGUAUCCAUAAGUACAAUAUUUCGUAUCGAUAAGUACAAUAUUUCACAAGAAGGUGUUGUUGAAUAAAGGAGUACAUGCCCGGGUUACUAGACGCGUAUAUCUAAUGAAGCUGAGAGUUAACAAUUCAUAGACCCUUGCAACAAGCAUUAAAAGACACAAAAACCUUGAUUUGUAUAGAUACAAUAUCACAACAAGUAUUCUACACGCCCGCGUAGUUCUGAAAACGUAGACGGUUUAUUUUGACGAGCAGGCAUGAGUUCAUGUUCCCAUUUCUUGGCCAAUAACAGUAUUUCCGCUAUGGGCAUGUAACCUAGUUCUUCAUUCCAAAAGCAAACGAAGAUAAACAUACAGGUUCGCUGGAACGACUCGCCUUUUUCUUGAAGAGGUUCCUGUUGAGCACUUCCUGAAGUGACCACGAGAACAUCUGCUUCUCCAAGUCGCUCUGCGCCCACGUGCUGUACCUGCUAUCAUUUGUUGACCCCGCCGCCUUCUCAAUUCGCCGCACCAGAACAAGGUCGUCGUCGCUCAUCUUGCCCCUCCCACACGCUCCCAACUCUGGCGAAUGAAAGCUCUGCUCGGUCGAGAGCUUUGAAGAUGCGUGCGUGGAUCUGUUCAGGUCAGGAUUUAAAGGGCAGGGAAGGGAGCCGGUUGGAUUCCGGCUGCCAAUUAAUUUUUAGUUGGGAUGCGAAGAGCCAAGGGAUUCAGUAAUUAACGCAAGCGCGCUCCUUUCAGUUUCGCAAUGGUAAUGGCGGAUCGAGGGGAAACCGGGAAAUGCUUCGGAUGCUGCUGCACGUUUUAUUUGGACCCUGCUUGAAUGUUGAACUAAAUACCAAUACUCUCCAUAAAAAAAAAUCAACAGCAGUUCGUGCAUAACUUUUUGAUUCUCGAACGUCAAAACAUGAACUACGUGAUGGUAUACUACUCGCAUGUCCAGUUGUCCACGACCCCACCUCCUGGUCAAAACCCGUACUGUUUCGUUCAUUUCUCGGGUUUACUACUACUCACUCCGUUCCAAAAUAAGUGACAUGAAUUUGUAUAAGAAUCCAUACAAAAUCUGCGUCAGUUAUUUUGGGACGGAGAAAUUAUUUGGUUUGUAAUUGAUGGUAUAUACCGUCUGAAUUUUCUGUGGAGUACUUGGUUUGUAAUUGAUGGUACAUACUAUCUAAAUUGAUAUACUUCCUUCGUUCAAAAAUAAGUGAUAUGACGUCAUUUUAUUUUGGGACGAAGGGAGUAUGGAAUUGCACUGUGAAUUAACAAGGGGGAGUGGGUACCAGAUUGUCAGAUUAUAAUGCACGGAAUGGAACUGAUUUACGUGCUAUUUUUGCAGUGAAGGUUUAAAGUUAGCUUAGCCACUAAGCUACGAACUGACCGAUGAAAGCCCUCCAAACGCACGAAAACGAGCUCUCAAACCAAGCAAACCACCCCCGCAACAAGACACGUUCGCUCGCCUGCUCUUCCCCGUUCAAAAGCUCAGAAAUCAGCAAUUCAGAACUCCCGAGACAAAACAAAAGGGGGAAAACCAUAUUCAAAACCUCCCCAAACCCUCAUCCACCGUCGCCAUGGACAGGGCACCGCCGCGCGGCGCAACCCGCGACGCCGUGGGCCAGCGGUGGCUCGCCGUCUUCGCCUUCCAGGCCGCGCUCUCGGCCGCCGCCUCCGUUGUCCACCUCGCUGCCUCGCCGCGACGCCGCCACCCUCGCCUCGGGGUGCCCCCGGCCCUCCUACUCGCGCUGCACCCGCUCCUCUCCUGCGCCGCCACGGGACUCCUCGCGCUCGCCUUCCUCAUCUCCGCGUCGCCCCACCCGCGCCCACCACCGGUACCACUGCGCGCCCUCGCGGCGUCCUUCCUCGCUGCUGCUGGCGCGCUCUUCGUGGGCGCCGCGGCGUCGCUGGUCCCCGAGGACGCCGGCUGGGCUGCCGUCGCGGGGCUGGGAUUCCGCGGCGCCGUGUUCGGCGCCGUGUUCGCUGCUCACUACUUUGGGCGUGGGAGGUGGUUGCUCCAGUUCCCCGUCGUGCAGGUGAGUAAAUAGGGGAAAAGUUAGGGUUUCAAUAUGUGCUGUUUGGUUCUUCCUAAAUUGCUGAUUGAUUUGGGUAUGUUUAGUUUUUAGGCUUAGAAUUCAUACCAAUAUGAUUAGGAUUAACUUCAUAGGAAUGAUUGGUGGUGCCAAUGACUAUUGCUGCUCACUACAUUUGAUGUUUGUCAAAUGUGGUUUGGAUUAUUGGUAUUUUUACGCUGGGGUUUUGUGAUCAGAGGGGGGAAUGGGUGCUAGCUAAUCUUUUGGUGUUUCAGUUUAGAAAUCUAAAUCAUAUAGUUGAUGAGACUAUUGCGAUCUCUGUCUAAUUUCCCGAGGAUAUUGUAUUGCAAUUGUCAUGGUCGAAUUCCCAGGCAGACACCUUGUUUUAUCUUAAUUCUUAUUGGUAGGAGUAUGUUUGUAAGAUCAAAAUGGGGUUUACUCCAAACUUAGGGGUUGUGAUUUAUCAAACCUAUGGCUGGUUAAUUUUGAGCCCUUAGGAAUCUUAGACUUGCUGGGUAUCUCACUUGCUAUAUUAUAGUUCUUCCCAGCAGUCACUUGCGUAUGUUGUCAGUUGUCUUACCUUUUUAACUUGUUUUAUUGUCCAGCGACCUCUAUUCUACGGAUUAAAGAUGGGGCUUCUGCCAUCCAUAAAAAGGGCUCUAAAGGUGUCGAUUCAGGCUUUCUGCCUUUCACUUGCCCUUACUUUUAUUCUUCCUCGGCAAUUCAGAAUUGGAGGAACCAUUGGAGGCCAAAUUAUCACCCAAAUCAGUAUUUUUGUAUUGACCACUGGUGUUUCCUUCUGUUGGGAAAUAAGCCAUCAUUUUGUCCAGGUUUGUUCUCUGCGAAAUGCAAAUCAAAACAACUUGCCAUAGAUACACUGUUUUUUCACUGUCUGGACUCUGCAGCUUCAUUCAUGUGGAAAUUUAAUACAAUUGCUUUCCAAUUUCAGGUUGUGCAUACAAGAAGGUGCAGUUUUACUCCACCUCAGAGCACUGCUGCUGCAGAGACUAAUCCUACUGAUUAUAUCCUUGAAACGUUGGAACUAAGUGAUCCACGAUCGUUGAUGCAAUAUCUAGCAUUCCAAGAUUUGUGUGCGGUAUCUGAAUGUAACUUGGAACCUUGGCGUCGAGCUGCCUUCUUUGAGGAAUCUGGUGAAACUUAUAAAAGAAUUGUCACAGCCUGUUUGAAGCCACUUGAGGAAUUCACUUCAAAAAUUGCUGAAGCUCUCGAAGGGUUUUCUAGUGAUAAGCCAGAACUGCUGUCACAACAAUCCAAGCUCUUUGGGGCAUUUAAUGAUUCACAGGUGAUUUGGCAAUCAUUUUUUAGUACUUAUGAAGUUAUAGGUUGUUUUGUCAAUCUUGUUUGUGUUCCUUGUUGUAGAAAUAAUGAUACAUGCUCCUUGCUAAGGACCAUCAUCUAGCAAAUAGUUGGAAUCUAAUGUUAAUGGAGUUGCUUCUUUCUAUUUGAAUGGGAGGCCAUACUUUAUAGUCCUCGAAUUGAGUAUACUUCAAGGCUCAAGCAUAUGUGCAUCAUGAUUGGUUACUCACAGUCAUGCUUAAUAAACUCGAAAUCUGAAUAAUGAAUCACAUGAUCAGAAAGAUUUUGCAUCAGAAAUGAUUACCGAAUGUAUUUUACAUAGUAUGUUGUGUGGGUAAGAGACUUUCCACAUUUAAUCUUUUCUUGAAAGAUAUAAUAGCUUGACUUCAAGUGUUGAGACCUUUAUUUGACAAUUGGUACGCGCUUUUUAAAACUGAUGGUUAAUGCUGGCAGCUAGUGUAUCAGGACCACAUUUAUUUUUAUGGUGAUUAGUAUAUUUGGGUUCAUAGGGAGUGUUAGCUAUCAGUCUGUGGCAUUGCAAAUGGCACUAUUACUAUGCAUUUGGACUAUUCUGCACCACUUUAGGAUACUAGAGUUAGGGUUUCAGCAACUAUGGAAAGUUGGUAUGAUUGUGAAAUACAGCACAUGUGAUGGAGAUGUCCUGGUAUGACUGUAUGACAAAUUGAUCUCUAAUACAUGGAUGCAGUAUGCACUGCCGUCGUCUGGUUCUCGAGAUCAGUGGGAAAUUAUGGUUCUUCAAUCUACCAAGUGUUAAUGAAAUAAUAGUUCACCAUUAACUUGUGGAGCAUGCUUUGCCUCAGAACAAAUGGAUUGCAGUUACGAGAAACACUCUUUUCCAUUUGAAGAAAAUUAUGACAGGACUAUAUUGACUUCUAUUUAAUCAGAAUAUUAUCCGGCAUUCUCAAUAUAACUGAAUCUGUUGGAUUCUCAUUUCUACUUUUCGUUCAUAGAGGUUAGAAUUCAUAUUACCGAUUCUAAGUACCAAGAAUGGAAACUGCUAGCUGGUAUGCAGAACUCACAUCAGCUUUGACAGUAUCUGGAAGCCUGAAACUGUGAAAACGAUGUUCAGUUUAGUAGCAGUUCGAGUUUAUUUUUAUAUAUUCCACUACAUAAGGGUUUUCCCCAUAUAUUUUUUUGGUUUAUCACCAGAUGACUACUCAUAGAAACUAUAAAUCACUAUCAGUGAACAUGGACAUUUUGAAGAUUUUUACUAUCGAUUUUGAAGAUGUUGCAAUGUUUUGUGGCUUUAGUACCAUCCAGAAGCUAUAUUCUUAUUCAAUAGGUGUCUUUCUGAAUAAAUUCAAUCAAGCUACAUGCCUGUGCUUUAAUAGCCUGGUCAUAAGAUUUUUUAAUGCCUACAGGGUUCAGGCCAUCAAAUGUUUGUAUUUACCUGAUAUGGUGUAUCAUUUUCAGAUUAUGUAAUCCAAAGAUUAAUUUAUUCAGUAAUACCUAAUGCUAGAUUAUUUUGUGUGACUCAACAAAUGUAGAUAUGCUCAUUGUGUGCUCGGACAUUGGCGGCACUAACUGCACGCUCACGGCGAGAGGAUCGGUAUGGAGUUGCUCAACUCACUGGCUGCAACGCUGCUGUGAUGUCUACUUUGCUGUCUGUGCUAGUGGCAGUUGAGGCGUGUUUAGGAAAGAAAACUAACCCACAACCUGUGCACUCACUGGGUCCAGCAAGCAUUAGGUGGGCUAACUUCUCCACGGGAAAAAAAGGCAAUGCAACUGCAAUUGCAAGCACGCAAAGAGGUGGUCUGCACACAAAAGCUUAUUUGAUGGCUGAUGUCCUCCGGACUUCAAUUUAUCAAAUGGUUUCUGCCUUUCUGGAUGACAUGCGGGCAAAUGCAAAAGCAUCAAGUUUGGAGAAGAAUUGGAUCAGUGAAGGAAGAAAACCUAUAUUUGGUUCACAGGCUGUGUUGGUUCAGAAGUUGAGCCUGUUUAUUGAAUAUCGUGCUGUCUGAACCUGGUGUGAUGUCUCUCAAAUAUUUGCUAGCAAUUCAGACCAUACUUCGGGUGAAGAAUUUUUUGGAACUGCUGAUCAGCUCGGGAGGCAUUUCCCAUUCAAAAUCUUCAGGAAGGCAAGGAGGGCCCUGACCUGUCAAUUUCACAGUUUUAAACCCGUUGGAAGCACCAAGUUAGUGAUUGGGAAUUUGCUCACUCAUUCUGUUUGCUACUCCCAGUUAAUUUCUCAUAGCCUGGAACAGUAGAGUACAGUUAUCUGUAUGAUGAAAUUUCACCGUAGCUUGGAACUUGAAAUGUUUUUGGCUAUCAUUCAACAUGAUUGUCUUCUUAAAUUGUCAGUACGUACAUUAUACACGCAAUCUGUAACUUCUUACGCACUUGGUCAUUGAGUACUAGUCAUAUUCGAAUGGUUUUCCUUGUUUGGUGGAAUUGGCAUUACCAUGUUUUGUUGUUCAUGCUGCAUCGAUCCAACGUUUUAACAAGGGCUUCACUGGUAGCCUGCUGGAAUCGUUGUUUACUUUCUCGUACUACUCAUCCAAUUCAAAUUUGCAUUUGAGUUUGGACGUGCAUUUUAACCACUAAUACCUUGAAUGAUACGGAAAAUCCACUAUGUUGAGCCCAUCUGUCAUUACCCCCCCGUAUUGACUCACAGCAAUUUCACGCUAGCUCGCAAUUUCGUCUCAGUAGACACAUGCUGAAGACGUACAGUAUCUCCAUUUCAAGCGACCAUUACGCUCUAAUUAAACCUAGGAAGUAUAUUACACAAUCUCGUCUACAAAGAACAUAAACACAAUGGAGAAGAGCACCCAACAGAUUCCGUAGACGCCGUUGCCUAUUUGCCUAGACACAGUUGAACGCAAUGGCCCGUAGCUGCGCGUCAGUGUUAGGCGGAGCGAUGCCGAAUUCCUAACUAACGACCAGGGCGUUGCUGGCCAGCCUCGGCGUUGCAGCGACCGCCAGCGGCGGCCUCCUCGGCGAGGUCCCGAGCACCGAGAGUGCGGCCCUCGUGGCAGCCUUCCUGGCGGCCUUGGGGCAAUGCCGGCGCGGCGAGAGGAAUCGACCUCGGUGCGCGUCCAGGCCUCCCCCGCAGCUCCGUGACGGCUUGAGGCGCUUCCUGGCCGGCUUGGCCAGGUCCUCCAGGGAUCCCACCGCCGCCAGCGACGCGAAGGACUGCGACUUGCCGUCGAAGAACUUGGACAACCCCCUCCUGCAAAACAGAACCGCAGCGGCGUCAGUUCAGCCUCUCCGCUUAGAUCAAGAAGGUAAAACCAGGGCACAUCGUGGCGCGCGCACGUACUUGAAGGGGAGCUGCGUCAUGAGGGCGGACAUCUCGAAGUGGUCGGCCGAGCCGAAGGAGGAGGUCGCGUCGUCGGCGAGCUCCGAGGACGAGGAAGCCGCCGAGCUCCUGGACGUGGACUCGGACUCGGACGCCGAGCCGAUGUCCUCGUCCUGCUCGUCGUAGGCGGCGAUCUUGGGCUCCGCGGCCCGGCGGAACAGCAGGUACGCGUCCAUCUGAGUCCCCAUGCCGAUCAGAUCAGAUCAGAUCAAACGACAGGAAAGAGGAAGCAGACGAUAACGGGAUAAUCAACCCGUGAGAUUUCGAUUGUGUUUGCCCGUCGAUGAGAAAGGAUCGAUCGGCGCGGCCGCUAUAAAGGGGAGGGAAGGAGGGUGAGUCACUGGGAGGAUAAGAAUGGAGGAGGAGCUGCCACAAAUAGAGGGGCGGGCGUACGUGGGGCGAGCGGAGGAGAUAAAAGAGGCCUCGGCGUUUAUUCGUGCGCAAGUAAUGCGGGUAAUUUGUAGAUUCGGCAUUAUCUCCUGCCCCUCAUGACCCCAUCCCAUCUCUUUGGUUCUUUCUUUAUUCGCGGGGAAUUUCUAUCUUGCCUUGGUGGGAGAGAGGGACGCGACGAGGCGAAGAAGGGUGUGGAUAAGGCCUCCACAUGGAGGCGUCGCGCGUUGGAACCCGGGGCGUGCUUCGGCCUGACUGGGACGGACGGACUGGCUCGGCUGAGUACUGCUGACUGUGCCUGCGUGGCUGUGCUUGGGCAGGGGCCACACACUUGAAUUCUACUUGCGGCACGCGGGUUUUCCCCGUCCACUUGUUCUGGGACUGGGUUGUAGGAGAACUGGUGGGCUGAGUAGUUGGACGGGACCAUCGCCCUUUCGAAUGACCUCGGCGCGUGGCAUCCCCACCUUGUCUGUACUUUAUUUAUCAAAGCUACUGUGCCUGUCAUCACUUGCUGGAUCAAUUUCCAUUCCUUUCUUAUAUUGGCUUUUUAAUUGUGGGUGUCUUUUGUGGUGGGGCUAAUCAAUUUUUCAUGGCUUGAUGUUUUUUUUAAGACAGUCAUGCCUAAGAGCAUCUCCAACAGCAUACUCAUAUUUUAUAGAAUAUCCAAAAACUGUCAAUACGUGUAUUUUGUCCCAAAAUACGUCUCUAACAGCGUACCCAUAAAUUUCGGAUAACCAAAUUAUUUUUGAUAGCUAUUCAUAUUGGAGGUUAAAAUAUGGUAGCUGUCCAAAACACCCGACCAGUGGCGGGACGGCCAACUGCCUCGUUCCGGCCAUUUCCGAGCCGGCGCCGGUCUCCGAUUCCGGCGGCCGGACCGCGCCGCCGCCGACCACCGCUGUCCUCCCACCGUAGCCGACCCCUCCGCCACCUCCCUGGGUGCCCCCGCCGGCGUUCCCCUGCCCCCGUUCGGCUUAGCCCCGGCCGCAUCGGGUGCCGCCGCUGGCGGGGCCGCCCCCAACUGCUGCCCCGCGCCUGGCGCCACCGUAGCCAGACGGGGAGAGGAAGAAGAGCAGGGGCCGCCCGCUCCCUCUGCCCCGCGUCCCCAAGGCGCGACGGUGGCUCGCGCGGUGCCGAUGCCGGCAGGCGCCUCGCGGCCCUCGUCCGAGCCUGCGGUGGCCUCCGUCAGCCCUCGUCCAAGCCUUCCGCGGCCUCUGCCGGCCUCGCCGCUGCAUUCCACCGCCCGAGAUGGCUGCCGCCGCCACCUGCGCCCUCGGCCACGCACCGCGCUGCAGCCGCCUGCGCCUCCGUGUGCAGCUCUGCUCGUACCGCGCCGCCACCGCCCGUGCCCUGGGUCCCCGCCUGUGUGCCAGAGGGCGCCAUGCCGCUCAGCUCUGCUCAGAGGAAGGAGAAACUUUUUAGUGUUACGAUGUUGGAAAUGUUCCUAUGGGUUGUUAUGUUAGUCUUGUUUGGCAGGGUGCAGGCUUGUCCUGACGUAAUCAACUACUGCAAAAGUGAAGUGCCGUCCACUCGGUUUUGUCUAAACUCUGUUCCAUUUGGUACAAGGAGAACCAACGGAUGCCGUUCUUUUCUCGAUUGGGAUAGGAAGGAAGGAUGUGAUGCUAUGAGUGAACAAGCCACUUGUAUUUUAUUUAUUUAUUUCUUUUUGGAGAGAGAGAAUAUCCCUGAAGAUGAAAGAGAGCACCAAACGCCAAAAGCUAGUCGCAGCUAAGAUUAUUAGACCCAAGUAUUUGAAGAAAAAGACGGCCAUCUGGGCUUGUAUUUUUAAAGAAUCCUGUUCUUAUCUCUCCAAUUUUCUGCAAAGUCGGAGAUCACCCACUUGACCACUAACGUUGACUCAUUGUCCAACCUUCACUUUUGGUCUUCAUCUUAAGCCUUCCCAAAAAAUUAUUGUAGUGACAAUUCUGAAGAAUCAAACACUUUACAAGUGUUCGCAUGUAGCCCAAAUAGCAUUUACUCUUGUAAGAGGAACAAUUGAUGGCGGUGGUCCGUCACCACUCCGCUUUUUUUAUUUGUAAAAAAGUUACAAUUAGAUUUAUUACAUAACUAGAUAGUGAUGAUAUUUGCCAUAAAAAUUAGAUAAAAGAACUAGCAAGUGCUAUAUAAUACUACUGCUUUUUAAUUUCAUUUAUCUUCAGAAAGCGGUCUAAUUUGUCUUUUCUGUAAUAACACGGGUUAUUUAGCUAGUAUGGAGUAUAAUAAAGGAAUCAUAUUCUUGCAGCUAGGCCUAUAACUAGGUUUAAAAAGAACCUUCUAUGAAGAAAACGGAUGUUCACAUGAAAGUUGACAGUAUUUCAUGACAUUUAACCUGAGCACCGAAGAAACCAAGCAAAUCUCAAGGAGCUCACCAAGAUCAACGCACUAAUCUCAAUAUGCAGUCAGCAUCACCGAGCCACGGAGCCAGUAUAAAUUUAGUAGCGCAGUGGAAGACAGGGACUUGAUAAGGGGAUGGGGAGAAUGAGAUUGGCCACUUGGCCUCUAUAUUAGCCUAUCUGCUUAAGGGGACAAACAGCAGAAUUUAUGUGGCUAUGGUAAACUAAAGCUUCAGACAAGCUCAUUAAAGUAAAGCUGGAAAGGUCCGUCAGUGCGGUUACUCUUAUCCACAACUAUCGGUCAACACAAAUCUAAUCCGCUUCUGGACACCGACACAAAGGUAUGGACCCUAGCAUCUUACUAUAUCCUCGUCACACAACAAACGGCAGAAGAAAGCUACUAAGCAUUUCUUAACCACAGAUUUGUAUGAUUGGGGCCCCAACCGAAACAGACCAAGGGCUAUCGGGGACAGAAAUGACUAUAUAGUGACGGCUGUGUAGAUAAUAAAGUAAGGAUGUGAUUUCAAUAAGAUGGAGCCAUUCAGCAACGAUGAACUGAUGAAAGAUUAUAUUUCGCAUCUUUUCCACCAAGGAAUCACCAACCCGAUAACUAGUGUUUUGAGAGGAAGCAUGGACUGAUCAGUGGUCGGUAAGGCUGGACGUCGGCUUCUCUGGCUGGAUUGGGAGCCCGAAGGACCACACACCACAUCGUUUUUGUUUUUGAGAAAAUUGACAUUUGUUUUCUCCGCUGAAAUCCAUGGGGUGGCUCUACUGGGCCGGGAAUGGCUCUGAUGAACAAAUAUAUAUUGGGCUGGGCCUUUUUAGAUUAGGCUUGAUAUUUAAAUACAACCACGUCCCAGAUUAUACAUUGGGCUGGGCCUUUUUAGAUUAGGCUCGAUAUUUAAAUACAACCACGUUUUUGGGUGCAUUAUCGAUUAAAAAAGAAUAGGUCAGACGACCAUACAACACCAGCCAAGCGGCAACACACUGUCCAAACGGUUACAACGCACCUAGUGGCCAAGGUCUCAACACCUUGUAACAUCUCAAUUUUCAAAACUCUUCAUAUGCAUUGCAUAUCAUAAGCAUCAUGUCAUCUUUGCAUUUGAUCACUUUCAAAACUAUAAAAUUUGCCCAGAAAACUCUUUUGCAAAGAUGCCUUUAUUUGAUUUUGAACCUUGAUCUUGCUUUUCAGUAUUUGCAUUUUAACCCAUGAGGGUAUUGUGGUAAAAAGGGAUUUAAUGCAUAUAUAGAGCUAUCCCAUAAAUUGGCUUUUGAAAUUAUUUUGAAAAAUAAUUUGUUUUGAUAGCUUAAGGGGGCUAAAAGCCAUUUUAUAGGUAAAUGUAUUUUUAAAUAUUUUACUUUGAGAAAAUUCUUGUUCCAAAAGUUAGAUCAUAUGAAAAUAUGAUUUUACCAAUUUUGUUGCAUUUUCUUUGAAGUGUUUUGGAGCUCCGAAUCAAUUUUGAGGUUCAAAACAGAAAAUAGACAAAAGAAAAGGACAAACCGUAGAAAACCGGUCAAACAGGACCGAACCGAACCGACCGGCCCAGCCCGAACCGCCCGGUCCCCCUCAUUGACCGGUGGACCCCGCGCGUCAUCUUCUCCAACUGCCUCCUCCGGAGUCCACGCAGAGCACGCCCCGCGAACUGCCCAUGAUUCCUUCCCGAUUUCUUCACGCACGAGCUUCCAACUCCAAAUCCCUGCGCGUCACCUGGAAGCACUCGCGUUUCUCCUCCAAUUCCCCCAAACCCCACGUUCAAUUUCGCACCGGUUAGAGACUAAUUGCUAGCCGGAGUUCGUUGCGGUCGUCACCGUUCUUCUCGAUUCGUCGCCGUUCCGAUGAGGUUCCCGCCGCGCCAAGCCCCUAACCUCUCUCCUCUCCUCGUCCUGAACGCCCUGACGCGCUCGCUUUUGUGUUUGGCCGCGGCCGCCGCGCUCCGCCCCGCGCCGGCCAUCUUCUCCGGCGCUGGCCGCCGCCCGAGCUCCCCGCGCCCGCGCCCUUGCGCCGCCGCGCCGCCCGCCAUCGCCUGCCGUGCCGCCGCCGGCCGGAACCCUAGGUCCCGACCUAUCCCGCUCUGCCACGUGGCGAGGCCUUUUUAUUUUAUUUUAUUUUCGGCCGAAUUAGAUAAGGUUUUUUUUUCAGAAAAACCCCCGUAACUUCAAAGUCUCAUAUCUUUCAAACCGUUUGUCCAAAAAUUGUGAUCCGCACCUUUCUGGAAUCGUCACAACGUGUAGAAUAAUCAUGGCAUACUAGUUUAAAUAUUGCUCUAUGUUGCAAAAACCACGCAAUCUUUUAAUUUAAACCUUAUCCUUGUUUCAUGCAUAUUAAUUACCUAUUUGAUGUUGUAUAACCUGUCCAAAUCAUUUGAAAAACCUUUCAAAACAGAAACAAAACUUGUUACAUUAAAAGUAACCAAGUGUGCAUUAACAUAGCAUAUGCAUCAUGGCAUGAUUUUUGCAUUGAAUGUUGUGUUUAUUGUGUGCAUGUUUCUUUUAUUUUAGAUUGUGUGGGGUGUAUUCCUUGUUGUUGCGAAGAGUGCGAGAACUAUCACAACCUUGGACAAGGCAAGUUCACUUUGAUCAUAUCCCAUUAUUAUUGUUGUUUUAAAAUACUUAUGCAUUAGUGUUGUUGGUAGAGAUGCAUUGAUAGGACUAUUACUCGUACCUCUAUGCUAGCCAUAAAUCCCAUGUAGUAUAGUUUACCCUCACCAUUACCUUGCCACAAAAUUGCCAUCGAUUGUAGUUGAAUGCUAGGCUAUGGUAGUAUCGUGGGGGAAAUAACUACAUUAUGAUAUUGCUAUGCCUUUGGCUAUAUGAAAUGUUUUUGUUAGAUGUAAGGCAAAACAACUAAUUCAAUGAACCGUCCUGGGUGGUCUGCUUUGAGGAUUUUGAGGAUUAGCGGCAUCAGGUCCAUUUCUAUGGGUCCCUCUGAGUCGAGUUCCUGUGGAUUCAGGAAUGGAUCGUCGAUGGACGUCUCUCCCGUGGAUUCGGGGAGCGCCUACGUUGCAAAUGUGGAAUGCCACCUGGGGUAACAGAGACUGGACUAGUUUCCUGUUUAGUAGCUUCCAGUACAACCACAUGGUAAUAUGGGCUCUGCCAGGAUGGAUGUAAGACAUAUGAUCCUGGAUCCGAGGGAUUGUGCAGAUGUAACCGUGUAGGUGGGAACGUAGGUCCCUCAGGUGGUCUGGGUGAUUAUGGUCUGAAAAUUCCUGUAAUCGAUGCCGUUGCUACUCUACCCUGAGGACAGCAAAGGAUCAACACGUCGAUUUCUUGUGGGUAAAGUGUACAACCUCUCGAGAGUGUCAAACUAAGUACUUAGCCGUGUCCCCGGUUACGGACAAUUUAUGAGCAACUAGAUUUGUGAGCUGUAAGGAAAGUCUCACUCAUUCCAAUUUCUUAAAUAAAAUGAAUGGUUUGAACAGGGUAGGAGCAUUUGAUGAAUCCACUUCAAUGUGCUCUAGGUUAAUAGGAGCAUGGGUGUGUCUACCCCGUGUCUAAUAGUUAACAUUAUUAUAACAUUCCUUUAUAGUAGGGUAAUUUAUGUUCUGCUUCCACGCAAACAGCCUGAACUCCACCUUGCCAAAUACUGCAUAUACUUGUUAGGUCUGUUAUAACCCUUUGGUGUACUUGACAAUACAUUCAAUGUAUUGACCCUAGUGGCUGCAUCGCUUAAUGAUGCAGGAAACUCCGACGACGAGUAAGAUGUACGUUCUGCUUGUUUGGGUUACGGGCCUACAUUCCAACACGUUCUCACCGUGGUGUUGAUGUGCUUACGCUUUCCGCUGCUAAACAGUUGUUUUAUUUCCAGCUAACCCGUGAGGUUAUGCGAGUUGUAAGUACCUUUUAAAUUCUGGAUGAUUCGUUGUAAUAUUGAGACCUUUGUUUUUAGAUAUUACAUCUUGAAACUGGGUGUGCUAGUGAGUCGAUCCAGGGACUAGCACUAAAGCACAGAGAUCGAACCCGUGUACGGGGGCGGUUGCUUCACACCUAUGUUGGCGGCGUCCACCGACUACCACUCAGAGCAGGAAAGGAAACCCUACCCCUAAAGAGCCCAGCCAACUCCCAACGCGCCGCCUCCUCCACGAUCCCGUGCAGCACCUGAAGAACCAAAGGAGUCGCCCCAUUGAAGACAACGUCGUUCCUAUGACGCCAGAUGGCCGAAGAUACCAAUCCGAAUGCUGUCCAAACGUCCCUCCUAUCUCCAGCGGGCACCGGCAGCAAAGUCCACCAGACUCUAAUAUCCACCUCCCCGGCCGGCAGCCAUUCAGGACGGCCCAAGCCGUGAGCAAAGGAGACCAAAUCUGACGAGAGAACACACAACCCAACAGCAGGUGAGAGAUCGUCUCCUGCUCCUGGUCGCACAACGGGCAACGAGGUGGAUGCUGAAGCCCCCUCCUCUGGAGCCGGUCGGCAGUCCAACACCUGUCACGAACCGCCAACCACAAGAAGAACCGACACUUGUUCGGAGCCCGUGAGCGCCAAACCAAGUCAGCCAUCGGGUCCACCAUCCGUCCCGCGAAGAAGUGAGCAUAAGCAGUCCUAGCAGAGUACUGCCCAUUGCUUGCCCAGUUCCACAACAGGACGUCCUCCCCCAUCUCCGAGAGCUGAAAGCCCCUCAAGCGAUCUCAAAGGGUGAGUAAUUCCAGGAUGGCCUCCGGCCCCAGAUUAGGCCCGACAUCACUUAACCACGCGCCAAGCAAACCCUCACGCACCAUGCGAGAGCGCACGAAGCGCGGCCUUACCCACGCCGAAAGGCUAGGAAAGGCAUCUCGGAUGAGGACGCCAUCCAGCCACCUGUCACACCAAAACAGCGUAUUGCGACCAUCUCUCGGCCUAGAAGAGGUGGCCGCCUCAAAAACAUCCUCAACGUCCUUUGACGUACCAAAACCUAGCUCGCGCCAAGGUUUGGAGUCAUCCACCCUUUCAAGCCACCUCCAACGAACUCGGAGCAUAGUGUUGAGGCAAGCAAAGUUCGGGAUCCCUAGCCCCCCCCCCCCCAACUACUUGGGUAAGCACACCUGGUCCCAAGCCACCGAACAGUGCCCCCCCCCCCCCCCCGCACCUCCUUCCUCCCCUUCCACAGAAAGCCACGGCAGACCUUGUUCAGCGCAUGCAAGGUCUUCCACGGCAGGUCCAGCGACAUCAUCGAGUGAACCGGAAUGGACGCUAGGGUGGACUUGAUAAGCACCAGCCUCCCACCUUUGGACAGCAGAGGUGCCUUCCAAGAAGCCAGCCUGUUCUCCACCUUGUCAACGACGGGCUGAAGCUGUGCCGCCGACAACUUCCUGACCCCCAACGGUAGCCCCAAGUAGGUGCACGGGAAGUCUUUCACCGCGCAUUGGAGCUGCGAGGUAACCAACACCUUUUGCUCCUCAGAGCACCUUAUGAGAUGGCCCCGUCCCAGAAUGGAGUUCGAUUAUACCGACGACAUUACCUCAAAACGAAAAUACUAUUGUACUCCGUAAUCGUAACAGCUUCUUAGCCCGCUGCAGAAAGAAUUAGCAUUUCUUAUUAUGAAAUUUAAUAGCAAUUCAAAAUAGUAUUUCCUCCGUCUCAUAUUUAGUGACUUUCUAUUACAUGUAUCUAAAUGUUUUUUAGACAAAGAUACAUUCAUAGAUGGAGGGAGUAACUAAUUAAAUAGCCGAGUUUCAGUACCAAAGAAUGAAAACAGAAGAAUGCAACAAGCGAACAACCAACUGUGUUUCACACCACGUCUCUAGUCUUCUCGGCCGCAGCUAGUUCCAACAGCUGCACAGGAUUCUUCUCUGGAGAAAUAAAGCGUUGAUUUCUCAUAUUUAAGACACUGAACUGAACUGGAACUAAAUAUAUUAGUAUCAAGGAUUACGGUGCAGAUGCUCAACUUAACCCAAAGAAACCGCAGAGUAACAAUUAAAUCUGAAACUGCAACUGCGAACGGAGCAAUUAUAUUUGCUGGGAUUGGAAUAAACAUGUCAUUGCAUCGAAAUGAUAGAACAGGGUUUAAAACAGGAGGUUGAGACGCACCGACGCACUACAGGAACAAUCGAAACAGGCAAACUACAGAAGGGAUUCUUGAUCUCUCUACACAGGGGAAACAAGAGCACAUCGCUAAGGCACAACCAGCAGAAUCAGCCGCCGAAGCCAUAGAGGGUGCGGCCCUGGCGCUUGAGCGCGUACACGACGUCCAUGGCGGUGACGGUCUUGCGUCGGGCGUGCUCCGUGUAGGUGACGGCGUCGCGGAUGACGUUCUCGAGGAAGAUCUUGAGCACGCCGCGGGUCUCCUCAUAGAUGAGCCCCGAGAUGCGCUUCACGCCGCCCCUCCUCGCCAGCCUCCGGAUUGCCGGCUUGGUGAUGCCCUGGAUGUUGUCGCGGAGAACCUUGCGGUGCCGCUUCGCGCCGCCUUUGCCCAGCCCCUUGCCGCCCUUGCCGCGUCCGGACAUCGUCGGAGAUCCGAUGAACUGAGAACAGUUGUACUAGACGAGAGAUUUGGAAUCGCUGCGGAGUUUGGUGAGGGAGAGGAAUGGAUCUGGGGUGGAAUUUAUAGUGGGAAUUUGGGUGGGGGGAGGGAAUUUUUGGUUUGGGUUUUGAGCGGGAGGAUUUCGAUUUCGGGGAUGGUUUUGUUGGAAGGGUUUGUUUGAGACGUCCGAUGGAAUUGGGAUCGGGUGGAUCGGAGAUGUGGAGGCAGAUCCGUGGGAAGAGGGAUUAGUUGGCGUUUGAUAGGAGAUGAACGGUGGUAAAUACAGCGCCAGGGUUGCCGUGGAUCGGUGACGUGGCGACGACUGUGUUCAACUGGAUCGUCGCUGCGUUGAUGGGCCUCGUGGCCCAUAACUCGUCAACAGACAACGGCAGCUGCUAAUCAUGACUCGCGACUCCAUGGUUCAGACUCACAUAGUUUACUCACAUGGUUUUGUCGCACAUAGUCACAGUGCAUCGUUUGACGCGAAAAUAUAUAAUUCGGUUUUGUUAUUCAAAAGUUGUAAGCUUUUUAGUUAGAGAUCAGUACAACGGUAGCACGUGAGAACGGGAAGAGACACUCCCAGAUCUUAAUCCAACGGUUAUGAUACAUCGAUUGAGAUUUGACAUUUUUUUUUUAAAUCAGAUGACUUCAAAAUAAAUAGCCACACCCUAUAUAAUUAUACAAACCAGAUGGAGACUCGGAGAGAAGUCUAAGGUUUCGUUUGGACAUAGAUAUUGGUACGCUUGAAAUUGAUUUCGCCCAACAAUAGUUUUUUUUUGUUGUACAUAGAUUUUUUGUGAAAUCUCACGCGACACCGAUUCCAAUUCGUGUUUGAUUUUUUUUUGAAGAAAUUCAUGUUUGAAUGAACAACGUCUGGAAUUGUAUAUCCUCCACAUUGGCGGCAGGCUAGCAAACAAAAAAUGAAUAGCCGAUCUUCGUUAUCAGGAAUUACUAGAAAGUGUUUGAUUUCUUCGCUCAACUGGCCUCUUGCUGAGCUAGCUCAGAUAGGCUAGCUCGGCAUUGCUAGCUUUGCCGUUGGUUGUUUGCUUUUGCAUGGACGAGAUCAUGGUUUCCGUGAGGAUUGGAGAUUUGUUUCCGGCGUGCAGCGCUUCUCGCCGUCGGAGACGAGCCGAUCUUGCUCUCCUAAUGGGCAAGCAAUUUCUCGCCCACUCGGGCUGGCUCACCUCAAAAUCGAGGAUAAAUUUACGGAUCCAAUCGCUGGCCCUUGUAGGAGCUAGUUAAGCAUUUGCCUGAAACCAACCGGACCCUUGGUCCAAACCACCUUUUGCCCGAAAAGAAAAGAAACUCAGGUCGUCUUUUCUAAAGGAAAAUCCAAACAGUUUUUGCUUACAACCUUUUAACACCCCGUUGCUGCGUUGCAGGACUUCCCAGGAAAAUCCAAACAGGCUCCCUGCCCAAACCGCUCAAGCCGACGGGCUGGUCAUUGAUCCAACGGCUUCAAGCUUCGAAGGUACCGGAUCGCACGGCAUAGCCCCCCUACGACGGAGCACGGCCGCGCACAGGCAGCGAACCACCAAAGCACCGUCCAGAUUCCAGAACCAGGAAACCCACGCCCACGCCCGCGCCCGCCGCCCCCAACCUCGCCGCCUCCUCUCGGCUCGCCAUCCUCGUCAGAGCCGCACUGCCCCAUGGCCUGCGCCGGCUCCGCGCGGAAGGUGUCGGCCGUGCUGUACCACUACCCGUGCCCGGACGGCGCAUUCGCUGCGCUCGCCGCCCACCUCUACUUCUCCGCCGCCGCCCUCCCCGUCCGCUUCUUCCCCAACACGGUCUACGAUCCCAUCAGGUAGUCUUGUCUUCCAAACAGAACCUCAACUUGACCCGCCGUAACUUCAAUACCCGUGACUACAUCUGUUACGAUGCACGCGCGUUUCAGGUGUUUGCUCUGUCAGUAUUAAUGCAGUUGAUAAAUUUUACCUUUUGCGAUGUCUAGGUGUAGUUCCAUGAUCAAGUAAGCAUGUGUUUUUCGCAACAACAAAAAAAGUAAGCACGUGUUGUUCACUUUGACAAUGCUGUGGGCCUGUGGCGUUGAUUCAGUUCGUUUAAGCUAAAAUGUGUGUCCAUUUUUUGUGCUGUCCUUUUGUAGUUUUGUGCUUCUAAAAAAUCACCCGAAACUAGGGAUUAUAUCUCCCGCAUAAAAGGACCAUGCAAUGGAGUCAUAUUCUCCUGGGGAUAAGAAAAUUGGUAGUCUGAAACUGGAUGUUGUAUUUUAUCUCUGUCUGGAUUUCAGUACGUAAUCAGUUGUGGCAAUUUGGAAUGGGCAUUGGGCAACAAAUUCACCUAGAAUGUAUUGGUGUUUUUGUUGUCACGCCAUGCGAGCCUUGGAAAUGCAAACUCAGCAUGAUGAUCUUGUGUUUCUCAUGUUAUAACCCUGAUCUUAUUGUUUGCUUGUUUGUAGGAGCGAUGGUCUUCCGUUUGAUGAAAUCAAAGAUGUUUACCUUCUUGACUUUGUGGGUCCUCCCGGUUUCGUUGCUGAUAUAGCCCCAAAGGUUGAAAGGUAUUCAAACAUUCAUCUCGUACCUUCUUCCCUUUAUGUCGUAUUAUUUACUUGUUUGUUUGAGUAGAUGUGAAUUGUUUUAUUUACUUUGGAGCCAUACAGAUGUGAGGCUUCCUACUUUGAUGUGCAGUAGUCGGUCAUUCUCAAUAUUUGUAUUAUUUUUACUAAUUAAGUGUAAAACACCUUGGCCUUUUAUUCAGAUACCGUGGAACAAUUUUUGAACGCCGUAUUAUGGAUAUGCGGUUCAAGUGUAACAAUCUUCAAUCUUAGAUCAUCAUAAAACUGCUUCAGAAAGUUGUGUGGGAAUGGCAUACUUGGAGAUAUUUCUAUUAGUAUUAACUUAUUGUUUUUUCAGUGUAACAAUCCUAGACCAUCACAAGACUGCUAUGGAAAGUUUAUGUGGAAGUGCUGCCCUUGGACAAAAUGUCAAUAAGGUGAUUGACAUGCAACGCAGUGGAGCAACUAUUGCAUUCGACUUCUUUAGGAACAAGUUAUUGACGGAAGCUAGUAACUUACGGAAUCAUGGAAGUGGCAAUGCUGCAACUGAAGUGAAAUAUCUACCUGACAAUAAUCAUGAAAUGGUACAAAAGCUUUUCAAGUUUAUUGAGGAUGGAGAUCUUUGGAGGUGGACUAUUCCGAAUAGCAAGGCCUUUAGCAGUGGUCUCAAAGAUUUGGAUAUUGAAUUCAAUGUCAAUGCAAAUGGGAAGUUGUUUGAUCAGGUAACAAUUUUUACUUGCUAGUACUAGUGUUUUGCUGAUAAUUUAACUUUUGGUACUUGAUGAUUACUUCCUAUUCUGUAGCUGUUGCAAAACUGUAAAUCAGUCAUGUUACUGCAUAAUCUGAUCAUGCCUAUAUUAUUUUUGCAUUUCAAAGCUUAUCUCACAAUAUCUUUUUGUAAAUGUGCACUGGUCUUGUUAAAGUUGCUGGAGCUGGAUCCUGAGCAAGUCAUUGCUCGGGGACAAGUGACAUUAUCGCAGAAGCAAAAAUUAAUUGAUGACUGUUUGGAGAAGUCCUAUGAAAUUGAACUAGGCUGUGGCAAGUUUGGGAAUUGUCUGGUAAAAAUACAUAUGCAUAUCCCUUGUUUCUUUCUUGAUUGUUCUCUAUGAUCUUUUGCUGUAUGCACGGCACUGUUUUUUCCAUAAGAUGUCAAUAUUCCAUGGUAAUUGAUGUGAAAGACUGAAAGUGCAUUAUUGCAUAAAGAUGAUCUGGCAUUAGCGUUGCCUGAUCACAAACAUUAUAAAUUAACAUAUACUUUCUGUUGGUAAGUAUUAAUUCUUGAUUAAAAUCCCUUUUUGUACUUGUUUCAUGUGGCUAUUUGAUUUUUAAUAAAAUAUCAGCAAUCACCUUUAUGUUGAGCGGUGUGUGUACUUCAAACUACAUGUUUGUUCGAAGGCUGUUUUCGUUGAGUUGUUUUCUACCUGAUGGUUGUAAGAAUUAACUGUUGAGUACUUUUUACCCUUGUGCUAAAGAUACAUAGGGCUAUGCAAUAGGUGCAGAAGCUUUGGGAUGUUAAAAUAAAAUUUGGUAGGGAAGGUUCUGCAGAUGGCAUGUGCAAGUUCCGUGGUGCAGGGGUGUUACAUAUGCACCUCUGUUAUCUUGGCUUGUUCAGGAUUUUUCUUGGUUUGCACCAUUAGUUUAACCUUCAGUGAUCAUUUUCUAUAUUCAUUCACAUUUGACUGUCUGGUUCUCCAACUUUAGUAUAACUCUUAUGCUUUUAUUCAGGCCCAUUGCCUAAUAUGUCUUCCUAGGAUUGGCCUGUAAUCCAUAACCUAUCCUGUUAGGUGUAACCUUUCGCUCAAUACUUAAAUCUACAAUUGAAGCAUCUGAGGCCGCAUCAAUCGAGGAUACACGAUAGAAGGAAUUGUUAAUUAACCUCACCUUCCCAAAGCGUGGGUUUGCUUUACUAAUUUUGUUCUCUCUAUGCGAACCCCCUCUCCUUAUCAGAAGACUGAGGUGUAGGUAGGGCUAAAAAAAACAAAAAAAAAAGAGUCAAAUCGCACCAUCUCUAUGCAUCCAGUUUACUAUCUUCAUUUUGCGUUUUCACCAAC
rnacentral:lncRNA from 1 species